rnacentral:lncRNA from 1 species
UUUUCUAAAGAACAUUACUUACGGAUCUUAAAAACAUAAUUUUCUCAUUUCCUACCUACAAAUUACUUUCACAACUCUCACUAAAAUCUAUAUCACAAACAGCAAGUCCCAUCCUGUUCCUCCAUGCAUCUGAUAUUGGCAGAUACUGAAGUUGACUAGUCUCUUUGGGGCUACCAUUGACUUAGAAAAAGGAGAAAAGAAAGAAGGAAAGAACAGAAGAAAUUAAAAGAAACCCAUUUUCCUACCUUUUUCCUUGACAAAUUGACAAUCAAAUUCUUCUCUCCCUCAUUACUCCAAAAGCAUAACUCAAAACCCCGCUCUAACUCAAACUCCACUCUCCCUCGCCCUCCAUGUCCCUCGUGAUGAGUUUAAUAAUCCUCGUCCUCUUCUUACCUUAUACAUGUACAUUAGCCAAAGCUUCUGCGGAAGACAACAAGACAGAUAAAUAUGAAUUCUGUCAACCAACAAGAUGCAGUAAUAGGAGCCCAAGUAUCAGAUAUCCCUUCAGACUCAAAACUCAACCAAUAUCUUGUGGCCUUGAAGGGUUUGAAUUGUCAUGCUUAAGUGACAAGACAAUCUGGCAUCUUCCUUCCUCUGGUGAUUAUUAUGUCCAUGAAAUUUCUUAUCUAGAUAGCAGUAUUAACAUUACAGAUGUGAAUGAGACUGCAUGCCCGUUUCAAAGUCUUAUCUCAUUCAACCUCACAAGCUCCAAAUUCUUUUUUCUUCCCUUUAAUGACAGUUACGCUUUAUAUAACUGCACUGAGAAGGCUGCUUCAGAACGGACUCCUUUUGAAGCAAUUGGACCGAUCAAUUGUCUCGGCAGCGAAAACAAUCUUGUGUAUAUCAUAUAUAGCGAAUAUUUAAUGGAGGAAAUGCCUCCAUCUUGCAGAAAAUCGCGAACAGUUGAGAUUCCUGGUGGAUUACCUCUGCAGGAUGUUGCUACGACGGCCAGGGCAAGACCAGUAGUCUUAGGAUGGGAAGCUCUUGAUGGAUGCUACCACUGCGAAAAUUCAGGGAAUUAUUGUGGGUUCAACACUACAAGCAAUUCGACAAUCUGCGUUUAUUGUGGGUUCAAUACUACAAGCAAUUCGACAAUCUGCGUUGCCGUUAAACACCAAAAACGUAAGUAGCCAUACUUUUCCUCAGUCACCUCUCUCUACAGUGCUUGAAAGUGAAAGCAUCGUCUCUAUUUAGCUAACAAUAAAAAUAAUAAGUUGAAUUUAUUAUCAUUGUUUUAUACGCCGGAAAAGUGAUCAGAGCAGUAUAAAUGAAAAAAAAAAAAAAAUAAUUAGGCUUUGCAUUAUUUUUUUCGAUUGUAAAAGUGUAAGUACAAUUGCUAGAAAGUCAAAAAUUAAAGAAGCCAUCUAUAUUAAUAGGGGUGGGCACUGAGCAAAGGUUAGAUAUAGUUGAAUUCCGAUGGUCAGUUUUUCAAAAAAAUAAUAAUUUGAACUGAACUGAAAGUCCAAUCAAUUUGGUUCAAUUUAGUUAGGGUUUUUUUUUUUUAAUUUGCCCUGUAAUUUCUUUUGCGUUUUUCUAGUUUUUUUGAUUUUUUAUUUUCUCUCAUGUAAAUCGAUGGAUUUUUUUUUUACUAAAAAAAACUGACGAUUCCUUUUUUUGGCGGCAAAUAUAAUUUUACCCACCCCUAAUCUGUAUGGCGAAUAUUAUUGCUAUAAAGGCUGCAUUCCAGUAUUAUUGCCGGUUGUAGAGUGGUCGAUAAAAUGUUGCUAGCCAGGCUGAUUUGACUCUUUGAACAAAAAUUGAUAGUACUCAGGACCAAAUAGAUAGUACUAUUUUUAUGUAUCUCGUCAAUUUAAUCUUGAAUCUUUACAUUACAAUUAAUUUUUGUUAAUGGUGAGAGAUUGAUUAAACUUACAAUGCCUUAUAAAAGUUUAAUCUAUUAUAUUUUCUUGCGUCCUCAAUGAAUACAAAUUAAGAAGAAUUAUUAUACUACUACUUUUUCUCUAUGAUUGUCUUUGUCAACUUUUUAUGUAAGAGCCAAUAUACGUUCAUGAUGCCAAAUUUGUUGAGAAAAAAAAUUUGUUUAAUCAACUGACCCUCAAUAUUCACAUGGAAUAAGAGAUGAGGGAAAAAAAAUCAUUUUUUGAAUGCAGAAAGGCAAAAAAAAUGCAUAAUGACAGGGAUUUCUAAUUGUGAUCAUUUUGGUGUUUUCAUUGUGUACUUGAGUAAAAGUUAAAAUUUUAAAAUUGAAGUGUGUAAGGUUAAAGAGUGCUUACUUUGCAGUUCAAAUAAUUUCAUCUUCUGCUUAUUAGUAUUUUUUCAUUAUUUAGUUAAAUGACAACCUAAUUAUCUAUCCACCCAUGUGAAUAAGAUAUAUAAUUAUCAUUUAAGUUAUGGACAAAUACCUAUAUGAGAUGGUCACAUGAGAGGGACUUGUUAAAACCCAAUCAAAUAAUAUUGAGUCUUUAUGCUACCAAGUUAAGCUUGCACGGGUCCAAACUUUUAGCAUCUCAUUUUAUUGUUUGAGUUGAUUUUUUAACUAACUUUUAGCAUCUCAUUUUAUUGUAACAGAUGGUCCUGGCCCUUUAUCUAUAAGUCUAAUAUCCACAGGCACAAGCAUUGGAGGCAUCACCCUCUUUGCGUUAGUGAUAUUUCUCAUUUACAGAUCAAGAGAAUCUGAAAAAGAAAAAGAGACUCAACUGAAGGUGGAGAAGUUCCUCGAAAACUACAGGACCGUCAAUCCCACCAGAUAUACUUACAAAGAACUGAAGAAAAUAACAAGCAGAUUUAAGCACAGGCUCGGUCAGGGAGGUUACGGAAGCGUGUUCAGAGGAAAACUCUUCAACGGAAUUCCAGUUGCUGUCAAGAUGUUGGAACAUUUGAAAGGAAAUGGACAAGAGUUCAUCAAUGAAGUGGCCACAAUUGGCAGGAUUCACCACUUCCACAUUGUUUGGCUUCUGGGAUUUUGCUCUGAAGGAAACAGGCGUGCUCUUAUUUACGAGUUUAUGCCCAAUGGAUCACUUGAGAAAUUCAUCUUCUCAAAGACAAAUAGCUCAAGUCAUCGUCAAUUGAGUUGGGAGAAGCUGAGGAAGAUUGCAUUUGGCGUUGCCCGUGGAGUGGAGUACUUGCACCAAGGAUGCAACCAAAGGAUCCUGCACUUCGAUAUCAAGCCUCACAAUAUAUUAUUAGACCAUAAUUUUCAACCGAAGAUUUCAGAUUUUGGACUGGCUAAGUUGUGCUCAAAGGACAUAAGCAUUGUAUCUCUGACAGCUGCCAGAGGCACUUCUGGCUACAUUGCACCUGAACUUUUCUCCAGGAAUUUUGGUGAGAUCUCUUACAAGUCUGAUGUUUACAGUUAUGGAAUGAUGCUGUUAGAGAUGGUCGGAUGCAGAAAAAAUAACGAUCCUGCGGUUGAAAUUCAGAGCCAAAUAUAUUUCCCAGAGUGGAUUUACAAUAGAAUGAGGCAAGGACAAGAGCUCUGUUUCGAUUUUGAGGAAGAUGGGGAUGAGGGAAUUGCCAGAAAGCUUGCAAUUGUGGCACUUUGGUGCAUUCAGUGGAAUCCCACGGAGAGACCUUCCAUGCCAAUUGUAUUACAAAUGCUUGAAGCUGAUUUACAAAGCUUGGAGAUCCCUCCAAUGCCCUUUGUUUCUGCUGAUGUUGAGGCAGGUGCAAUCAAUUGAUCUAGAUAGCAGAAGAUUACAAUUAAAAAGGGAUAUUGUUAAUUUGUUUCAAAUUUUCCCCGAUUAUAAGCUAAAUUAUUUAGUCCUUAUUGUUAUUGGAACGCUUGAAAACCACUAAAUUGAGUUUUUGUUUGACUGUGGUUGUUUUAUUUAUCGCUUAAAAUCUUUGAUGUGUUCGAAUGAUACAACAUUAAUACAACUAUGGAGGAACUUUAGUCUAUUUUUAAACACAUCAUUAAAAAAAAAAUUAAGCAUAACUAUCGCUGAAAGAGCAUUCCUUCAUUGAUAGGCUUAUAGUUCCCAAGGAGGGUAGUUGGCAGAAACUCCAUGAGCUAGGUUGCUUUAGAAAAGGCUCGCGGGAUCGAGUAUUUACAGAACGGAUGUGAUGUGUGCAGUCUUCAUUUCAACAUUUAAGUCUCACAACAUCCUGCUAGAUCCUAAUUCCUUCCCCAAGGUCUCAGAGUUCGACCCUUGCAAAAUUUCAUCUCAAGGAAAAUGAUUUUGCUCCCAUCAGCGCCACAGGAGGAACAAUAUAUAGGUUAAAAUAUUACCUGAGCUAUGACUAAGGCGCUGAUCGCUCCUCUGUGACAAAAAGUUUUGGAAAUUUUAGAAGGGAGCAUUGACGAUUUGCAAAUGCCUCCAAAACCUUUCUCAUCUUCUUCUCGACAUAUAUCUGGAUGAGAGAUUGAAUCAGAUUCUUCAACAGAGUUGUUAAUGUCUGAAUCAGUGAAGGAAUGAUCUUUCGGUGAUAUUUAGGUUUAAUUUUGCCAAUGAUGAAUGUAAAAUGAAUAAAUGAAUAACGUGCAAUUAAUGACAAAUGUUUUUCUUCUUCUCAUUGCUUUAUCUCGAAUUAGAGCCUAAUGCACACACGUUUCGAGUGAUAGAUAAUUUAGUUGUUGAAAUCUUUUGAGUUGAUACAACAAGUUUGAGAUUUGAAUAUGUCCAUAUGGGUGGCAAAAGAAUUUAAUUAGAGGUGUGCUAAGCUUAACUUAAAACUCUUAGGUGGCCACUUGGGCUUGUAGCCCAGUGGUGAACCAUUACCCUUAAAGUUAAUCAUGACUAUGAGGGUAAUGGUUUGAGUCCACACGGACUCAAAAACUCCCUCAAUAUUAAGCAUAAUUGUGUGGAGAUUACUUAUAACGUCUUUCUCCCUUGCAAAAUGCGAGUGGAGUAGAGACAUCCCUCCCCCGUGAGGGGUAUUUGGCUGGACAUGUAUUUCGGAGAAUAAAAAAUGUAAUAAUGUAAGUCCCAGGUAUAUAAUGACCUGCUAUCAUAGCAGUUGUAAAUAUCUCUAUGACCUGGCUGGGCAUGUACGUCAUAGAAUAAAAAAUGUAAUAAUAUAAGUCCCAUGUAUAUAAUAGUUAAGAAUGAUGAGUUUGUUUGUUUACUAAGAAAAUGAAAGGAAAAAUCAGAGAAACAGAGAAGAGAAAACUUAUAUUUUAUUCAUUGUAUAUUUCGAUUAGUUACACACGUUUAUAUACUAUGAUCUGGAAUCUUCUUCAUUCUGUUUACACAUGCUAGAUUAGCUGAGCUAGUAACUGAAACUAACUUGCCACAUAAGCAGCCAUGUCAGCAUGUAUAACAGACUCUGUUUAACUAACAAUAUUAAUCAGCAUGUGAUUAAUUAAUUAUCUUAACAGCCUCCCUCAAGCUCAAGGUCGUGAUAACACAUUGAGCUUGGACCUUAGAUAAUUGAAUUGAUCAAAUGCUAAAGGUUUUGUAAAGAUAUCUGCCACUUGAUAAUAGCUGGGAACAUGACUAAUCUGAAGUUCUUUCUGGGCUAUAUGAUCUCGAAUGAAAUGUAGAUCUAACUUAAUGUGUUUGGUUCUGGAGUGAUACUUGGGAUUGCUUGCCAAAGCUUCUGCACUCUUAUUAUCACAAUAGAUAACUGGAGUCUGUAACAGAGAUACUUUCAACUCUGUCAGCAAGUAAGUGAUCUACAAAGUUUCAGAGACUGCCAAGGCUAAUGCCCUAUAUUCUGACUCAGCUGUGCUCCUUGAAACUAUAGGUUGUUUCUUAGAUGACCAUGAGAUCAGAUUAUUACCCAGAUAUACGCAAUAUCCCCCAAUCGACUUCCUAUCAUCCAAAUCUGAGCCCCAAUCAGCAUCUGAGAAGGCUGAGAUUGUAAGAGAACCAGAGACAUAAAACUGUAAACCAAGGUCAGUUGUGCAUUGCAAAUAUCUCAAGACCCUUUUACAUGUCUGCCAAUGAAACACUGAUGAAUUUACAAGAAACUGGCUCAACUUAUUCACUGUGAAGACAAUUUCAGGUCUAGUAAGAGUAAGAUACUGUAAUGAGCCAACUAUACUUCUAUAGAGAGAGGGAUUUUCAAAAGCAGUACCCUUGUCUUUAACUAACUUCUCUGUAGAACUCAUGGGAGUUGAUCAACCUUUGCUCUCAAUCAUCUGAGCUUUCUUGAGGACAUCCCAUAUAUAUUUCGUUUGAGAAAGAUGUAAACCUUCAACUGAAGGUGUAACCUCAAGACCAAGAAAGUAGUUGAAAUCCCCAAUAUCCUUCAAAGCAAACUCUGAACUUAAAUGAUGAAUAACUCUUUCAACAAGCUGGACAUUAGAACCAGUCACCAAAAUAUCAUCCACAUAAACUAAAAUGACAACUAUAUCUUCUGCUUUGUGAAGAAUAAACAAAGAGGUGUCAGAUUCUGAAGCAAUGAAACCCCAAUUCAGCAGAGAAAGUUUCAACCUGUCAUACCAAGCUCUUGGAGCUUGCUUAAGACCAUAGAGAGCUUUGGUAAGCUUGCAGACAUGAGAUGGAAAUUGAGGAUGAAUAAAACCUUCAGGCUGAUGCAUGAAGACUUCUUCAGUAAGGAUGCCAUUAAGAAAGGCAUUAUUGAUGUCCAGUUGUCGAAUUGGCCAGUGAUACAUGACAACAAGACUCAGAAUGAUUCUUAUUGUGCAAGGCUUUACAAUUGGACUGAAUGUUUCAAAGAAAUCUACCCCUUGUGUUUGAUGGAAACCUUUGGCCACCAGCCUUACUUUAUACUUAGAUAUACUAUUAUCAGGAUUAUACUUCACCCUGAACACCCAUUUGUUUCCAAUAAUUUUUCCAGCUUCUUCUCUGGGAACAAGAAUCCAGGUGCUAUUUUUCUGCAAGGCAUCAAAUUCAGCUUGCAUAGCUUGUUUCCAUUUAAAAUCAGCCAAUGCUGCUUUAACUGAAUGUGGUUCAAGGUGUUGAGUCACAACCAAGUAAGUUUUGUGCUUAAACACACCAGCUUUGGAUCUGGUGAGCAUAAGAUGAAUAUUUUGAACUGGUUGAAGUGCAGAGUUAGAUACUGGUAGCACUUGUUCUGAUGGCAACUGAAUAGAAGGGGAUAGUUGUUGUGGUGUACUAUAUAAGGAAGAGGUGUCUGAAGAAUGAGAUGGGGAUAUUGUCUGUAAGGUACCUGAAUCAGGGCCUGCAUUUUGAGUUGGAGGAUUGAGAGAAGAUUGUGCACAGUUACUGUCAGUGAGUAGGAUUGUGGAAGAAAUGAAUGGAACAGAAAAAUGACCUUGCUGAACUGAGGACACAUUUUGACCUGGUGAAGGAAAAAAAUAUGAGUAUGGAAAUUCAGAUUCAUUGAACUUUACAUGUCUGGCAAUAUAAGUUUUGCCAGUGGAAUCAAGACACUUAUAACCUUUGUGAAUAGGACUAUAACCAAUCAUGAGACAUUUUUGUGUAUGAAAGUUAAACUUGUGUUUACUGUAAGGUCUUAAAAAAGGAAAGCAUGAACAACCAAAGGUUUUAAGGAAAUGAUAAUCAGGUUUUCGACCAUAGAACUUGGUGUAAGGAGAAAUGUUAUUCAAUACAGGUGUAGGCAGCCUAUUGAUAAGAAAAGAAGCUGUAUGAAAAGAUUCUCACAAAAAAGAUAAGGGCAUUUUUGCUUGAGCAAGUAAAGUCAGCCCUAUUUCUACAAUAUGUCGGUGCUUCCUUUCUACCACCCUAUUUUGGUGAUGUGUAUGAGGACAACUAUGUCUAAACUAUAUACCUUCUUCUUGAAGAAAAUGUUCAAAAUUUCUGUAUUCACCUCCCCAGUCAGACUGCAGUGACUUUAAAAGAUAAUUAAAUUAUUUUUUAACUAGAGUUUUGAAGUAUUUGAAAGUAGCUAAGGCUUCUGAUUUAAGGGUUAAAGGGAAAAUCCAACAGUACCUAUUAUAAUCAUCUACAAAACUAAUGUAGUAUCUAUAGCCUUGUAGUGAAGGAAUGGGUGCUGGACCCCAGAGAUCAGUAUGAAUAAGCUCUAAAAGAGCUUUUGUUUUGAUUCCUGUUGAGUAAAAAGGGAACUGAUGGAUUUUAUCAUAUUGGCAAGCAUAACAAAAAUCAGGUAUUGAUAUUGAACAAGGAAGGGAAAUAGAAGAUAGAAUACAUUUCAACACAUAUUUACUUGGAUGACCAAACCUUUGAUGCAACAAAUUUGUAGACAAAAUAGUGUUUUUAUGACACUGAUGAGUUUUGUUUUGAGUACAUGUCUUAUUUGUAGCUUCAUCUAAGAGAUUACAAGCUGAAUUAUUCAAAACAGAAAGCAUAGAACUAGGAAUGUGAGAAGAACUGUGAGGACUGGAAAUGAAAUCCUUUUUAGACAGUAAAUGAUAUAGCCCUCCUCUAGCAAUCCCGUGAGUAAGAUGCACUCUCUUCUUCUGGUCUUUGAUAAAACACAUAUUGGCAACAAAUUCAAUGGUUAAGUUGUUAUCUUCAAGUAACUUUGAGAUGGUUAAGUGUAAGAUUGAGUUUAAUGAUGUAUGAAGACCAGUGUAACCAACAUGUGAUAUAUGCAGCCCUUGACCAUUACCAACAUGCAGCAGAUGAUUACCUGAGUAUUCCUUUGCAAGACUCAAAUUCUGUAAAUUGUUGGUGAGGUGAUGAGUUGCACCACUGUCUAUGUACCAUCAUUGAUCAGUAAAAUCACCUUCAGAGGCAGCCACAAAAGCAGCUCUGGGUGCUGAAUUCACAUAAGAAGACCUUGGUACUGGAUAUUGAUAUGAGUUGUAUCCUGAUGGUGAAUUGAAAGGAAUGAACUCUCUAUUGAACCUGUUUCUACACUCAGCUGCAGUGUGCUCAAGUUUGAAACAGAUUUGACAAAUUACUCCAGCAAAGUUAGGAUCAGAACUACCUUUCCCAUUACCAUUGUAAAAACCACCAGAUUUUGCAAAAUUUCCAUUUCCAGAACCAAAACCACCUAUGCUUUGAUAGUUCCCAUAUGGUGCUCCAUUCCAGGCAUUCUUCCAAUUACCAUUCCAAUUUCCUCUUACUUGACCUUGUGGAAAACCUCUACCAAAAUCUCCUCUGCCUCUAUUAUUAUUACCAUUACCAUUUUGAUUUUGUUCCAAUUAGCAUUAUACUGUCCAGUUUGAGCAACAUUAGCAGCAAAGUUCAUUUUAGCUUCUUUACUAGAGCUCAAUUGAUUAGCAUCCAAUCUAGCCUCAUGAGUCAGAAGCAUAGAAUAGGCUUCAUUUAUAGUCGUUUUAGCAAGAUUUGCCCCAAUAUAUACUACCACAGGAUAAUAAGGUUGUCCUAAUCCAGAGAUCAAAUGAGUAAGAAAAUCUAGAGAGCUAACAUGACUACCAGCCACAACAAGUUCAUCUGUAGUUGUCUUUAGCUUGUUAAAAAAUUCAGUCAUGGACAUAGCACCUUUUCUAAGAUUAUUAAGCAUAAUUUUCAUAUGUACUUUUUUAGCAAAGGAUUCAGAUCCAAACUGUUGUUCAAGACUAGUCCAGAGUUCAAGAGAGGAGUUAGAAUUUACCACAAGACUAAGAAUCUCUAGAUUGAUAAAAGACAUUAGCCAACUCAGCAGCAUAUGAUCUUUUCGUUUCCAGACAACAAAAGCUGGAUUCUCUCGAGCUCUUUCAGCAGCAGUGAUCUCAGUUGCAUCAGAAUCAGAAUUUAUAACUCCAUCAGAUGAAAAUUGAUUUGGACAAAGUUUUGAGCUGUCGCGAAAAUCUUCAAGGCCAUUAGCACGAACUGAAGUGAGAACUUGAGAUUUCCAUAAUGUAUAAUUUGUUCGAUCAAGUUUGAUUGGUGAGGUAAAUGUAAACGAAGAUGUUGUGUUUGGAUUUGAGUUGAAAGCAGCCAUGAGAUUUGGCUCUGAUACCAAGUCAAGAAUGAUGAGUUUGUUUGUUUACUAAGAAAAUGACAAGAAAAAUCAGAGAAACAGAGAAGAGAAAACUUGUAUUUUAUUCAUUGUAUAUUUCGAUUAGUUACAAACGUUUAUAUACUAUGAUCUAGAAUCUUCUUCAUUCUGUUUAGACAUGCUAGAUUAGCUGAGCUAGUAACUGAAACUAACUUGCCACAUAAGCAGCCACGUCAGCAUGUAUAACAGACUCUGUUUAACUAACAAUAUUAAUCAGCAUGUGAUUAAUUAAUUAUCUUAACAAUAAUGACCUGCUAUCAUAGCAGUUGUAAAUAUCUCUAUGACCUGGUUGGGCAUGUACUUCAUAGAAUAAAAAAUGUAAUAAUAUAAGUCUCAGGUAUAUAAUGACCUGCUGUCAUAGCAGUUGUAAAUAUCUCUAUGACCUGCUGUCAUAGCAAUUGUAAAUAUCUCUGUGUAAUACACUAACUUGAUGUUUAAUCAGUUAAAAAAAAAAAACUCUGAGGUGGAAAUUUUCUUCAUUAUAUUACCCCCACAUUGAAAAGUAAUCACAAAAAAUCAGGUCAAUGGCUUCAUUUAACUUAUUCUUUAUUAUUGUUUUAUGCAAAUGUCAUGGAGGACUACUCUCUGUGGGGUUGCCAUUGACUUAAAUAAAAUGCUUUUAAGCCAUACAAAAAUGAAUGGCUAUCUUUAAUAUUACACUAAAAAACAUCUCUCUUUCUCUGUUAAUCCAUGUCACUUUUUCUGAGUUCAAUAAUCUUCUUCCUUCUCUUCCUUACACAGAAGCCAAAACUUCAGAAGGAAACAACGAUACAAAUAUUUAUGAACGUUGUCAACCAACAAAAUGAAACAUACCAUAUCAGAUUCCCCCUUUAGAAUCAAAUUUAAAUGAUUAAGAUUGCUGAUGAUAACACAGACCCUACUAAGUUUAAUAAAUGAUUACAAUUUACACACACACUCUUUAUAUUAUUAUACCUUUUAUUUGAACAACCAAAUGUACUUUAUAAUAACUACUAAUAUAACAUUGAAACAAAAACAAAUGUAAUAAAUAAAAUUAUCAUAUAUUUUAUAUAUCAAAGCAUGUUCUGUGUUCUCAUAAAAAAAAAAGAAUUAUUGUCUUUGAGUUUGCGGUGAGAAAUUAAAGUAGCGAGUGAAAGAUGUUGACUGGAUUGUUGCAUGCGUGGAAAUUGUUACAAAAUUUUUGUCUCAAUUUGAAGGUUACUAAGAAAUUUCAGGUCAAGCUAGGGUUAUCAUCACCGACGCAAACUUGCAAUCAAAACGUUUACUAAGAGUUGACUGACUUGUAAGAGUGUCUGGUGUCCCCUCUCACAUGGAUGCUAAAAGUCUUGUGCUCAAACAAAUUCAAUUAAUAUGCUCUUUUAAACUUUUUCAAUUUCCCCACCUUUGUUUAUUAUUUUUAAAAAAAUUAAGAUAAUACUACUUUUGAACGAUUAAUUAUUGCUAUAUCAUCUUCAGCUAGUAGAAUCAGAUAGUUGAAUGCUAUAAUAAAUUUACUAUAUACACGUGCUCGUUGUUAAGUGAUGAUGUAAAUACGUAUCGAAAACUUUGAAAAUGCAACCUUCUGUUUAAUUUACUGAAAUUCAUUGUAUCCUGGGAUUGCAUUAACAAUGAGUGGGGAAGAAUCAUCAAUUCUCCCAACUCUUCUGUUUUGUCUAUUGAUCUAUCUACUCACCACUGAAAUUGAAGCAAGAGAAGUACUUCCACAAAUCUAUUUUUCUUCUUGUGGAGAUAUAAAAAACAUAAGCUACCCUUUUCGCCUAAAGGGAGAUCCAUCGAGAUGCGGUUAUCCUGAGUUUGAACUGUCUUGCCAGAGCAACCAAACCAUCCUAGAAUUAUUCAAUUAUGCAAAGUACUAUGUAAAGAGAAUUUCCUAUGACGAAAGCACAAUCAGUGUUGCCGAUGUUAACUUGGCCAAUGGAAGCUGUGGCCUUCCAUACACAUCUUUUCCCAUAGAAAUCUUUCGUAUGCGUUACACCGGUUGCUAUUUUUUUUAAACCGAUCGGGUUUAUGCACUUGAUUAUUAUAAAUACCUGUACCCCUAUUUCGUGAAUUGCUAGACGGAUCUCAUUGAUGAGGCUUUUAUAAGAGUUCCAUGUUUGAGUGGAGGAAAUCAGUCGAAUGCUUAUGUUAAUUACCAUGGCUCCUAUGUAUCAGAUUUUUUAGUCAUGCUCGUUCGUUUCAAUGGUUCCUAUACAUAAUGGGAAUGUGGAAAAUCCUUCUUAUGAAACCCUCCGAGAAUUACUGGAGACAGGAUUCGAUCUUAGAUGGUCAAUUGGAUGCAGGAAUUGUUAUGCAGCCGGUAGAGGAUGCAUUAGUACUGUUAGAGCAGGAAAAUUUGAUUGCUUUGAUCAUAGCCCAAUUACAAACCAUAAGUUUAUGAUUAUAUAUGCAUACAAAUAAAUGGAGACCUUUUAUUUAUAAUUUUCAAUCUUAAUCUUUGACGUAUUUAAGAAUUUGCGAAUCAUCUCUAAAAGAGUCUGUUUACCAGUGUGACCCUUAAUCUCUGUUUCUUUUGAACUUUUGCAGUCUUUGCUGAAUGCCACAUCGUAGAAGUAGUAUUCGGAAAAUUUAUUUGCUACCAAGAACUUUUGACACGUAAUAAGCCUAUUGUUGCGGACCGCCCAAGUUGCUAGUCCAAUUGCCCACAAUUUCGAGCUGGAGAGCCCAAGAUAAAGCCAAGAGUGCUAGCUUGGCCCGAUUUCGGAAAAAUUAUAGGAAACUCUAGCACAUUUAAGCUUGUAAAUAUCUAGAAUACUCCACACGUUUCCAGUACAUGUAAUUGUCUAGAUAGUUGGUAAAAUUCUCUAGAAUCUCUCUCCUAUAAAUAGGGCAUGACAUUUGACAUUUGAGCAACAAGCUUAGAGCAAGCAACUCAAACACUUGUAAGCUCUCUUGUAAUCUCUCUUGAAAGCAAUACAAUUUCUCUUAUUCGGCUCUAUUGCUCUCUUCCCUCUAACUCUUCGAAAACCUCUAGGCUUAACUAGUCGAGAAACUCAAGACUUACUUAGCAACAUUCGGCAAAGGUUGUCUAAGUGCCGCACGGGUUUGUUGCGCAAAACACUCAUCCCGUGACAAGUAGUAUCAGAGCUAUGGUUUGCACCUACGCAAGUUAGCUCACGAGCAAUGGCCAACCCUCCAAAUCCAGUGCAAGAGGGCGUUAUUGGUGUUGACGUUCCGCCGGAACCAAGCCGCAGCCGUGAGGGAGAUCGCGCCCAAGGCAAACGCAGCAAGUCUAAGGCCACAUCCAUGGAUGCGUUGGAGCCUCGUGUAGCCACUCUCGAAACUGCCUUGUCCAUCGCUCAAGACAACCUUGACGGAUUAGAGGAAAGAGUGGACGGUCUCGAGGGAGAAUACGCCGAGUUCACUGUGGCAACAAAAGCCCACAUCCAAGAGCAAGCAAACACUCUCCAGGUGAGUUUUGAUCCUUUCAUGAUGAGUUACUAAAACUUCAUAGCUUUGUUCAGGAUGAACUACGCAUUGUCCGUGCGGAAGUGGAGGAAGUCCGCUCGGAUUAGGCAUGGCACGAGCGCACACUCUCCGCUAGUCCAGCUUCCGCAAGCACGAGUGAUGCGUGAUGCAUUGAUGUGCCUUUUCAAGCCAUAUCACGGAGAUGUGGAAGACCCAAUUCGCGGAGAAUCGAGGCGUACGCCAACCCCGUUGCUAUCGUGUUCGACAAAGAUGUGGACUACAUCAUUGCGGACCACAUAGUUCGGAGAAGAGGCGUGCCACCAUACAACGAGUACUUGGUGAAGUGAAAAAACCUCCCCGAGAGUGAAGCCACUUGGGAACGCGAAGAUGAUUUAUGGCAAUUCGCUGAACACAUCCAGAAUUUCAAGCACGAAAGCGCGACAAGGAUGCCGCGAGCUUAGGUGGGGGAGGAUGUUGCGGACCGCCUAAGUUACUAGCCCAAUUGCCCACAAUUUCGGGCUAGAGAGCCCAAAACAAGGCCAAGAGUGCUAGCUUGGCCUGAUUCUAAAAAAUUCCAGGCAACUUUAGCACAUUUAAGCUUGUAAAUAUCUAGAAUACUCCACAUAUUUCCAGCACAUGCAAUUAUCUAGAUAGUUGGUAGAAUUCUCUAGAAUCUCUAGAGCUUGGCAAGCCUCCCCUAUAAAUAAGCAUGACAUUUGACAUUUGAGCAACAAGCUUAGAGCAAGCAACUUAAACACUUGUAAACUCUCUUGUAAUCUCUCUUGUAAGCAAUACAAUUUCUCUUAUUCGGCUCCAUUGCUCUAUUCUCUCUAGUUUUUUGAAAACCUCUAGGCUUAGCUAGUUGAGAAGCUUAAGGCUUAUUAAACAACAGUCAGCAAAGGUUGUCUAAGUGCCGCACGGGUUCGUUGCGCAAAACACUCAUCCCGUGACACUAUGCUUACAUAUUUUAAACUUUGCGAUUGUGUUUUUUGGUGUUAAAUUGAUGGCAUCAUGUGAUUUAUUUAUUUAUUUUCCAAUCUUGUACUUAAUAACUUUUUUAUGAAUCAUCUCUCUUGAGUAUGAAUAUGUAAAGCCUAAUCUUUUUUCCUCGGCUUGCAGUUUACUACAAACUCCUGCCACCUUAUGACGGCCUCGAAUUGUUACUGUUAAGUAUGAUUUCCUGGCUGGAAUUCAUGUUCUUGUUAUUUCGAGUCAGCUACUUACCUAGAAUUAAACUUUCUUGUUUCCAGACGGUGCAUUCGUGUAUCUUAUAAAUACUAGGUUCAUCAUUGGUUCAACAGUUUUACUUUGUGAUCCUUAUCCACAAAUAUAGGCGACACUAAAAACAGUUGAUAAUAUUGAGAAAUUUCUACGCAACUAGCAAUCGUGGAUGCCUAAAAAGUACUCUUACCUUGAGAUGAUUGCCAUGUCAAACCACUGCACUCAUAAAUUAGGCCAAGGUGGCUUUGGUUCCAUUUAUAAAGGACAACUUCAUAUUGGUCACUUGAUUGUUGUGAAGUUGCUGGAGAACUCCAAGUUCAGUGCGGAGUAAUUCAUCAAUGAAGUUUCAACGAUUGGUAAAAUUCAUCACGUUAAUGUAGUCCAGUUAUUGGGGUUUUAUUCUGAGGGAUCCAAACGUGCACUUAUCUAUGAGUUUAUGCCUAAUAGAUCACUUGAGAGGCAUAUCUUUUCCAAGGAAAGUAAAGGCCAAACUUUUAGGUUAUGUUUGGUUUGAAGGAAAGGGAAAAGAGGAAAAUAGUGGAAUAGAGAGGAAGGAAAAAGAAAGGAGUGGAGAAGAAUAGUAAAAUUAAAUUUUAUUGUUUGAUUUGAUAUAAAAUUUGAUAAGAAAAGAAAUUUUAUUUAUUUUUAGAUAAAUAUAUCUUUUAUCUUAAAUUUUAAAAUAUUUAUAUCAUAUAUAUAUAUAUAUAUAUAUAUAUAUAUAUAUAUAUAAAACGGCCGUCCGGUGGCUUUCUGCUUCUUUGGAAGUGAAUCAGACUAGAAGGUAAAAAAAGGAACAAAAAAAUUGAAACAGCUCAUGACUUUGUGCUUCUUUAUGGACUGUAACUGCCUUAAUGAAUAGCCCAAGUCAUUAGUGGGCUUUUAAUUGUGCUCUUAUGAAAAGCCCAAAGCGUCCACCCUGAAGCAUGUCACAUGAGCUAGGGGUAGGCACGGUUCGGUCCGGUUCGCUUCAGAUCGAAAUUAAGCAGAACCGAUUUAAAUCGGUUAUUUUAUAAAAAUAACUAAAUAAGAACCAAACUCAAUAAAAACCGAACAUAAACGGAUCUUUUCGGAUCAGUACGGUUCGGUUCAGUUUUUUCGGUUUUGGGUUUAUUAGGCCUAUUUUGAAUUUCUAAAUUUUUAGCCCAUUAGGCCUUAUGAAUGUAAUAAUUUUUUUCAACAAUUAAUUUAUCCUAAUUUCAUUACAAAUAUUAACAAUAAAUACAAAGUAUUCAAAACACAUUUUACCACUAAUUUAUGAAAUUAUAACAUAUAUAUAUAUAUAUAUAUAUACCCGAAAUUGUGUGUGUGCAUGUCUAUUUUAGUUAUCUUAUGCAACCAAUUAAAAUUUAACACGUGUCUAUUUAAAUAAAAUUCUAAGAAUAAUCCGGUUUUUCGGUUCGAUUUUUCGAUUCAGCUGGGUGAAUCGAAUACCGAACUUGCAUUUCGGUUUUUUUACAAACCAUAUAUUUCAGUUAUUUUUUAAAAUUAAAAAUGGUUCGAACGGUACGGUUCGGAUCGGUUUGGUUCGGUUUUCUCUAGUGUACGGUUUUUUUGCCCACCCCUAACAGGAGCAGUCCAAAUUCUGAAUCUCUCUCAACUCCUCAAACGGUGUUUCAUUCUGUAUGCCGCCAUUUGCCUCAUUUCACAAUAUAGAUAUGCAUGCAUGGAGGAUAUAUAUACGAUGGGUUUAGUUGUGUAUACAUAACUUAUAAUUAUAUUAUGAGUGUAUAUGUAUAUGUAUAUGUAUGUAUGUGUGUGUCUUUGUGUGUGUGUGUGUGUGUGUGAACAAAUAAAAUAAUAAUCAAACGAAAAUUAACAAGUAGCACCUGGAAGAAGAUCAGUAGAUCACUACAGUUUUGAGGGCCAAAUGAAUCUGCACAUUGAUGACAGAAUAUAAAGAGCACAAAGAUUUAAAAUGUGUUUGAUUAAUGGCAUUUUAAUUUAUGUGUUCUCUAUCUUCUGUCAACAAAAUUUCAGAAAAUUAGCGCCCUCCACUUGAAUCAUAACAAACACAUGCACCAAAUAUUAAUGAGGGAAAAAAAAAUCACCAAUCGAUACGCUUUUGUCUCCACAAUAUUAAAUAGCUGCUGAAUGGCCAUGGAAGCGUGCAUAUCCACAGCGGCACGAAAUUAAAGUACUUGAUAAAUUGUUUACAGUAGCAAGGACUUUGAAUGCAUGAUGCCAAUUAAAUGGUUGCGGGCUUAAAAGCAUUAAUUUAUGAAGUGCUUCGCUCUUUUAGGCUGGCGAGAAAUCGAGUCUACACUACUUUCCCUCUUUUUCUUGUUUGCCUUUCGCAAUAGAUACAUUAUUAUAUUGUUUUUUUAGCACAUUUUCAAUGAGACUACUAUUCCCAUAUCGGCUACCAAGUUAAUCAUUUGAUCAAUAUUUUUAUUUUAUGGAUUUGAAUUCGACAUUUGAUCAAUAUUUUACAUCAAUAUAUACAUUAUACUAAUGAAGUUGCGACAUUUGAAAUGAGCGAUUAUUUCAUUAAAGCCAUUUACGGCAGAACUACAUACCACAUGAAACACAACAGAACUCGUUACAAUGUCACAAAAUUAAUACGAAAACAUUUGAUGGAGAGGAAAUCUAUGCAGAAGUGAUUUGCCUUCAUAAAAUAUCAUAGUGACACUUUUGACUCUUGACGGCAAAGAAGUCUGCUCAUAGAACCAAUCUUGAAUCGGAAAUGGAGAGUUUUAAAAAUCACAUGAAAAAUUAGCUUACGAAGACACAUCAAUGUUGCACCAAGCAUAAGAUUCAAGUCUCCUUAGCUCGAAUCUGUUGUGUGUAACUUAAGUGGAAAUAUCAAGACAUAUUGAUUUUUUUUUCCAUUUACGCCUAACUAGUAUUAUAUCGUUGGUCUAACUUUUUCUAUCUAUAUCCUGUGUGUGAUGAAUAACAUAUAAAUUGAUCUAAUUUUUUGUCAUAAAUUAUACCAUUUGUACUCUAAUCUACUUGAGAUUAACGAACGUCGUAUAUGAUUAAAAAUAAUUAUUAAUUUCAUCUCUUUUGUUAUUCUAAAAAUCUAUCAUAUGCUGUCAUAUACUAGAUCAAACUAUGUAUUCAACCGUUAAUUUUUCAAUAUUAUUAUUUUUAUAUAUUUACUUGUUUCCAUAAUCACAGUCUAAUGAUUUAUGUUUUUUUUUUUAGACUUUGGUGGUCUCAAUAUGAAGCCCAACUCAUAUUGGGUAUUUCAAGUUUAAAUCAUUAAAAAGCCUAAUUUGUCCCCAAUGCGCAAGGAUAGACUAAUAUCUUCGUGGCCUUUUUUGACAUAAUUGAUUUGUCAAAAGUGUGUAUGUAUAUAUAGACACACGCGCACACACAUAUACAUAUUAUCAUGUCUUUAAAAACGUGAAUUUACUAAUAUACUGUAUAUUAGAUAAUUCAAAAAAGUUAAUAAAAACACUAAUGCACUAAAUGGCAUAUUAGUGCCAUCACACAAGCCUACAACAUAAAAACUUAUCAUACAUUAUAUAUUACACAAUUGUGCACACUUGAUCAUAAUUUUAAAUAUAUGUCUUUAUUUAUUCAUAAUAAUAAUAAUUAUUAUUAUUACAAUAAUAAUUACAACAGCAACCAUAAUUUUUAGAAACGCGUGAACUUGACAUGAGAAGUCCUCAUUCUUCUGCAUAUCGGUCGCUUUAAAAGUGUUGGUCGUCGGGGCCGUUCCAAAUUUCCAAUACCGCGUUUCUCCAAAUCAUGUUAAAAUAAAUAAUAAUAAUAAUAAAUAAAGUAAGCCACUGCGUUUGGUGGUGAGAAAAAUUAAGAAAGCGAAAGAUAUUGACUGGAAUUGGACUGCAUGGAAACUGUUUCAAUAAGUUCUGUCGCUUUUAAUAUUGAAGAACGUUUACUAAGAAAUUUGAGGUCAAGAUUGGAUGGGGAUGGAUGGAUCAUCCCAUUCCCACCGAUGCUAACUCAUUUACAAUUACCAGGAAAUUAAGCGACUUCACUUUGCCGUAUUGACUUCCCCAUUGAAAUCUGAAAGCUUCCACCUAAACAAAUCGUGGAAAGAGACUUCAGAAGCUGUGUGGCAUCGGCAUACAUAAUUUACAGUAAGAAACGAAAUUGAACAUGUUUAUCUAGAUUUGUCCCUUUAUCUUCCAUUCCAUUGCAUUAAUGCUUGAAGCCUAGCACUCAGUAAUUAAAAAUUUUCUUCCAUCGGGUCGAUUUCAUUUUAUGAAUAAUUAAUAUUAUUUUUAAACAAAUUAUUUAGCGCUAAUUAAUUCAAUCACAUAGUUGUAUACUAAACUAUGAUAAGUUUAAAGCCCGCCUCUCACCGUGCAAGUGAAACUGUAGAAAACAUAGCGCAUUAACACUUUUAUACCGUUCUGCUUAGUUUAUUCAAAUUCGUUAAUUGUAUCCUGGAAUUGGAGGAGCAAUGAGUAGUGACGAAGCUUCAAUUUUCUCAACUUUUCUGUUUUGUCUGUUGAUGUUUGUAUUCAGCCCCAGAGAAAUUGAAGCAAGAAAACUUGAAGUACAAAUGUGUUCUUCUUCUUGUGGAGAUGUCAAAAACAUAAGCUACCCUUUUCGCCUCAAGGGCGAUCCAGCUGGAUGCGGUCAUCCGAAGUUAGAACUUUCUUGCGAGAGCAACAAAACCAUCUUAGAAUUCAAUUCUGGAAAGUACUAUGUGAACAGUAUUUCCUAUGAUAAACGUACAAUCAGUGUUGUCGAUGUUAACUUAGCCAAUGGAAGCUGCAGCUUGCCGUCCAAUUCUGAUCCCCGAUCUUAUGAUGACAUUUUCGGAUAUCGUUUUUAUUAUCUUGGUGAUUCAAGGGCCUAUUAUGUGAAUUGCUCGGGUAAUAUUGUUGAUCAGGCGUAUGAGAAAGUUCCAUGUUUGAGUAACAAUCAGUCGAACGUUUACGUUUAUGUUGGAUAUGCUGGCAUCAACACCAGCAUAUCAGAUCUUCCAGAGUCAUGCGUCUUCAUUUCAAAGGUUCCUGUAGUACUUAAUGGGAGUGUGGACAAUCCUUCUUAUGAAGACCUCCGAAAAUUGCUGGAAUCAGGGUUCGAUCUUAGGUGGUACCAGCCAAUUACUGACUGUAAGCUUAUGCUUAUAUUUAUUUAUGCCUUCAAAUGCAAGCGCUUUGUUUUUGUUUCCCAAUAUCGCACGCAAUAAAGAAUUUGUGAACUAUCUCUAAGAGCAUAUCGAUAUGACCCCUAAUUUCUGUUUCUUUUCACUUUUGUAACAGUUUGCGGCCACAAUGCAGGAGUAGUGGCAAAAAUUAUAUGCUACCCAUAUUAUAUACGUAAGCAUAUCCUUAUAUAUCUUUUUGAUCAUGUGUUUUCGACGUUAAUAAAUGCGAUGGCUUCAUAUAUUCUCUAAUCUUUUACUCUAUAAUUUUUUUCUGAAUCAUCUCUCUGAUUAGGAUAAAGCUUUUUUUUUUUUUUCCCCCGCUCUCCAAUUGCAGUUAACGACGAAAUUUACCUAGCAAUCUCUUGGCCUUUCGUAAUGCACUCAUCAGGAAUGCGGGAUUGGAUAAGUUUUCUGUUAGGUAAAAUCUCCUCUCCAGGAUCCUCUUUUUAUUGCUUUGUUUACUACUAUUUACUUUCAAAUAACGUUCUCCUUGCCAGGGUUUCCACUCGAUGUUCUGAAUGUUCUGAUAAUUGGUAGAUUUAUUCUUGCUCCAAUAGUCUUUGUCGUGUUCCUUAUCCAAAAAUACAGAAAAUCAUUGAAGAGAGUUGAUAAUGUGGAGAAAUUUCUGCACAAUCAGCAAUCGUGGAUGCCUAAAAGGUACUCUUACCCGGAGAUAAUUGCCGUGACAAACCACUUCACUCAUAAAUUAGGCCAAGGUGGCUUUGGUUCGGUUUAUAAAGGACAACUUCAUACUGGUUGCUUGAUUGCUGUUAAGAUGCUGGAGAACUCCAAGUUCAGUGCGGAGGAAUUCAUCAACGAAGUUUCAACAAUAGGUAGAAUUCACCACGUUAAUGUGGUCCAGUUAUUGGGGUUCUGUUCUGAGGGAUCCAAACGCGCACUUGUCUACGAGUUUAUGCCUAAUGGAUCACUCGACAGGCAUAUCUUUCCUAAGGAAAGUAGAGGCCAAUCUUUUAGUUGGGAGAAACUCCACGAAGUUGCUUUAGGAACUGCCCGUGGGAUCGAGUAUUUACACAACGGAUGUGAUGUCUGCAUUCUUCAUUUCGACAUUAAGCCUCACAACAUCCUGCUAGAUCAUAAUUUCAUCCCAAAGGUCUCAGAUUUCGGCCUUGCAAAGUUUCAUCCCAAGGAAAAUGAUUUUGUGUCCAUCAGUGCCACAAGAGGAACCAUAGGAUACAUAGCACCUGAGCUGAUUUCAAGGAAUUUUGGAACUGUUUCUUGCAAGUCAGAUGUUUACGGUUUUGGAAUGGUGUUGUUGGAAAUGGCUGGAGGAAGAAGGAAUUCUAAUAUGAAUGCAACUCGUUCAAGCAAAGCAUAUUUCCCAUCUUGGGUAUUUGACCAAUUAAAUAAGGGAGGUGAUUUAGAGCUUCAGAAUGUUACUGAAAUUGAAUCCAUGAUAGCAAGGAAACUGUGUAUGAUUGGUUUGUGGGGUAUUCAGGUGAAGGCAGCAGAUCGCCCCUCUAUGACAAAAGUUUUGGAGAUGUUAGAAGGGAGUAUUGACGAUUUGCAAAUGCCUCCUAGACCUUUCUUCUCUUCUUCUCGACAUAUCUCCGGAACUGGAAGAGAGAUUGAAUCAGAUUCUUCAGCAGAGUUGUUAGUUUCUGAAUCAAUGGAGGAAUGUUCUUUCAAUGAUAGUUAUGUUUAAUUUUUGCCAAGGAUGAAUGUAAAAUAAAUAAAUAAAUAAUAGAUUGCAAUGACAAACGUUCUCUAUCUUCUUCUUGUUUUAUCUCGCAUUGAAACUUAAUGCAUAUAUUUGUGAGUGCAAGCUAGUUUAGUAGUUGAAAUCUCCUACUCAUAUAGGUGGCAAUAUGAUUUAAUUAGACGUGCGCUAUGCUUUAAAAAGAAAAUAAAAGUCUCUCGCAUUGAUUACAAACACUGGAUAGGAGUUGGAAAUUUUAUUCUAUAUUUUUAUCACACAUUGAAAAUUGAUCACAAAAAAACCAAGUCUACACCUUCAUUCAACCUAUUCUUGUAAUUGCUGUCCACAAAUGUCAUGGAGGACUAGUCUCUUGUGGGGCUGCCAUUGACUUAAAUAAAAUGCAUUUUAGCCAUCCAAAUUCCAAAAAUGAGUGUCAUUUGCUCUUUCACAUUAAGAAAUAUAUCCUCAACCAAGAAGGAAGAGUGAUUAAUAUUAGACGAAAAAGCAUCCCUAUUUCUCAUUUUCUCCAUGUCACCUGUGCUUAGUUUAAUUCUCUUCCUUCUCUUUCCUUACACAGAAGCCAAAACUUCAGAAGGAAACAAUGAUACAAAUAUUUAUGAAUUUUGUCAGCCAACAACAUGCAGCACGAAGGGACCAAAUAUCAGAUUUCCCUUUAGACUCAAAACUCAACCUAUCUCUUGCGGUCUUGAAGGGUUUGAAUUAUCAUGCUUAAACACCAAGACAAUGUUGCACCUUCCUUCCUCUGGCGAUUAUUAUGUGCAGGACAUUUCUUAUCUUCACAGCAGAAUUACCAUUAUGGAUGUACAUGAGUCCACAUGCCCUUUAAAAACCAGCCGAGCGGCUUUGUCAAAUUAUAGAUUGACCUAAAAGGGGAGAGCUUAAAUUAAAUAUUUGAAUCUUAUUCUGAUUUUUUAAAAAUAAUUUAUAAGAGUUCAUAAAAAAAAGUUGUAAAUGUGUAAUUUAGAUAAAUAUGAAUACCCAAAUAAAAUUGGGCAAACUUUUAUUUUUCAUGAUGCUUUUUUUUUCCUUUAAAACCAAAAUAAAUUUAGGAUUCAUUUAUGUUUUAAUCACAUGCUUGUUUCAAAAUUUUACUUUCUUACAACGUUUUAUGAUUUUUUUUUUAAAUGUGCUCGCAUAUUUGUUAAAUUUAAGAAUUAAAGUCCAUGAUAUUAUAUUCAUCUUUAAGUUUCUCGAACAACUACUUCGGAAGUGAAUCAGACUAGAAGGAAAAAAAUGAACAAAAAAACGGAACAGUUCAUGGCUUUAUGCUUCUUUAUGGACUGUGGUUGCCUCAAUGAAUAGCCCAAGUGAUUAUUGGGCUUUUAAUUCGGCUCCUAUGAAAAGCCCAAAGCGUCCACGAUGAAGCAGGUCACAAGAGCAGUCCCAAUUCUGAAUCUCUCUCAACUCCUCAAGCGGGGUUUCAUUUUGAAUGCCGCCAUUGGCCUCAUUUCACAAUAUAGGUGUGCAUGCAUGGAGGAUAUAUAUACACUAGGUGUAGUUUUGUAUAUAUAACUUAUAAAGUUAUAAUUAUAUUAUGAGUAUAUCUGUCUAUGUAUGUAUGUAUGUACAUAUGAACAAAUAAAAUAAUAAUUAUACAAAAAUUAACAGGUAGCACCUGGAAAAAGAUCAAUAGAUCACUUCAGUUUUAAGGGCCAAAUGAAGCUGCACGUUGAUGACGAAAUACAGAGAGCUCAAAGAUUUAAAAUGCAUUUGAUUAAUGGCAUUUUAAUUUAUGUGUUCUCUAUCUUCUGUCAACAAAAUUUCAAAAAAUUAGUGCCCUCUACUUCAAUCAGACCAAACACAUGCACCAAAUAUUUAUGAAGUGCUUCCUCCUUUUAGGCUAGAGAGAAAUCAAGUCUACAUUACUUUCCCUCAUUUUCUUUUUCGCCUUUUGCAAUAGAUACGUUAUUUUAUUGUUUUUUUAGCACAUUUUCAAUGAGACUACUAUUCCCAUAUCGGCUGCCAAGUUAAAUAGUUAAUCAUUUGAUCAAUAUUUUACUUUAUGGAUUUGAGUUCGACAUGACAGAUAUUAGAAACCAGUGGGAUACAACAUGACCAACUUUUACAUCAAUACAUACAUUCUACUAAUGCGGCUGUGACAUUUGAAAUAAGCGAUCAUUCGAUUAAAUCCAUUUACGGCAGAACUACAUACCGCAUGAAACGCAACAGGACUCGUUCCAAUGUCACAAAAUUAAUACGAAAACAUUUGAUAGAGAGGAAAUCUCUGCACAAGUGAAUUGCCUUCAUAAAAUAUCAUAGUGGCACUUUGACUCUUGACGGCAAAGAGGGCUGCUCAUAGAACCAAUCUUGAAUCGGAAAUGGAGAGUUCUAAAAACCACAUGAAAAAUGAGCUUACGAAGACACAUCAAAAUGUUGCACCAAGCAUAAGAUUCAAGAUAUCCUUAGCUCGAAUCUGUUGUAUGUAAGUUAAGUGGAAAUAUCUAGACACAUUGAUUUUCUUCCCCUCUGCGCCUAACUAGUAUUAUAUCGUUGGUCUAACUUUUUCCAUCUAUAUCCUGUGUGUGAUGAAUAACAUAUAAAUUGAUCUAAAUUUUGGUCAUAAACUGUACCAUUUGUACUCUAAUCCACUUGAGAUUAAUGAACAUCGUAUAUGAUUAAAAAAUUAUUAAUUUCAUCUCUUUUGUUAUUCUAAUAAUCUAUUAUAUGAUGUUAUAUCACAUGAUCAAACUAUGUAUUCGACUGUUAAUUUUUCAAUAUUAUUUUAUUAUAUAUUUACUUGUUUCCAUAAUCACAGUCUAAUUAAUGAUUUAUGUUUUUUUUUUUUUUAGACUUUGGGGGUCUCCAUACGAAGCCCAACUCAUAUUGGGCAUUUGAAGUUUAAAUCAUUAAAAAGCUCAAUUAGUCCCCAAUGCACAAGGAUAGACUAAUAUCCUCAUGGCAUUUUUUGACGUAAUUGAUUUGUCAAAAGUGUGUGUGUAUAUAUAGACACACACGCACGCACACACAUAUAUAUUGUUAUGCGUGGAUUUUUGCAUAUUUUAACACAUGAAUUUACUAAUAUACUGUAUAUUAAUUAAUUGAAAAAAAUUAAUAAAAACACUAAUGGUAUAUUAGUGCCGUCACACACGCCUACAACAUAAAAACUUAUCAUGCAUUAUAUAGAAUGCAAUUGUGCACACCGGAUCAUAAUUUUAAUUAUAUAUAUCUUUCUUUAUUCAUAAAAAUAAUAAUAAUAACAACAAUAAUAAUUACAACAGCAACCAUAAUUUUUAGAAACGCGUAAACUUGACAUGAGAAGUCCUCAGUCUUCUGCGUGUCGGUCGCUUUAAAAGUGUUGGUCGUCGGGGGCCGUUCCAAAUUUCCAAUGCCGCGUUUCUCCAAUCCUGUUAAAAUAAACAAAUAAAUAAAGUAAGCCAUUGCGUUUGGUGGUGAGAAAAAUUAAGAAAGCGAAAUAUAUAGACUGGAAUUGGACUGCAUGCAUGGAAACUGUUUCCAGUAAGUUCUAUCGGUUUUAAUAUUGAAGAACGUUUACUAAGAAAUUUGAGGUCAUCCCAUUCCCAUCGAUGCUAACUCAUUUACAAUUACCAGGAAAUUAAGCGACUUCACUUUGCCGUAUUGACUUCCCCAUUGAAAUAUGAAAGCUUCCACCUAAACAAAUCGUGGAAAGAGACUUCAGAAGCUGCGUGGCAUCCGCAUACAUAAUUUAUAGUAAGAAACGAAAUUGAACAUGUUUAUCUAGAUUUGUCCCUUUAUCUUCCAUUCCAUUGCAUUAAUGCUUGAAGCCUAGCACUCAGUAAUUAAAAAUUUUCUUCCAUCGUGUCGAUUUCAUUUUAUGAAUAAUUAAUAGUAUUUUUAAACAAAUUAUUUAGCGCUAAUUAAUUCAAUCACAUAGUUGUAUACUAAACUAUGAUAAGUUUAAAGCCCGCCUCUCACCGUGCAAGUGAAACUGUAGAAAACAUAGCACAUUAACACUUUUAUACCGUUCUGCUUAGUUUAUUCAAAUUCGUUAAUUGUAUCCUGGAAUUGGAGGAGCAAUGAGUAGUGACGAAGCUUCAAUUUUCUCAACUUUUCUGUUUUGUCUGUUGAUGUUUGUAUUCAGCCCCAGAGAAAUUGAUGCAAGAAAACUUGAAGUACAAAUGUGUUCUUCUUCUUGUGGAGAUGUCAAAAACAUAAGCUACCCUUUUCGCCUCAAGGGCGAUCCAACUGGAUGCGGCCAUCCGGAGUUAGAACUUUCUUGCGAGAGCAACAAAACCAUCCUCGAAUUCAAUUCUGGAAAGUACUAUGUGAAGAGAAUUUCAUAUGAUAAAUGUACAAUCAGUGUUGUCGAUGUUAACUUAGGCUAUGGAAGCUGCAGCUUCCCAUCCACUUCUUUUUUCCCACAUCGUCUCAGUUUCAGAUAUAGUUUUGAUUACAAUCUUAAUUCAUACGCCAAUUACGUGAAUUGCUCGAGUAAUAUUGUUGAUCAGGUGUCUGCGAAAGUUCCAUGUUUGAGUAACAAUCAGUCGAAUGUCUAUGUUUAUGUUGGAUAUGAUUCAAUCGCCACCAGUAUAUCACAUCUUCCAGACUCAUGCGCCUUCAUUUCAAAGGUUCCUGUAGUACUUAAUAGGAGCGUGGACAAACUUUCUUAUGAAGACCUCCGAAAAUCGCUGGAGUCAGGGUUUGAUCUUACAUGGUUAGAUUCGAUCAGCUGGAGCCUCUCAGUGCCUCGCUGUAAGCUUAUGCUUAUAUUUAUUUAUGCAUUCAAAUGAAAGGGCUUUGUUUUUGCUUUUCAAUAUUGUACGUAAUAAAGAAUUUGUGAACUAUCUCUAGGAGCAUACCGAUAUGACCUUUAAUUUCUGUUUCUUUCCACUUUUGUAACAGAUUGCAUCUACAAUGAAGGAGUAGGGGCAAGAAUUAUUUGCUACCCAUAUCGUAUACGUAAGCAUAUCCUUAUAAAUGCGACGGCUUCAUAUAUUUUCUAAUCUUUUACUGUAUAGUUUUUUUUUGAAUCAUCUCUCCGAUAUUGUACGUAAUAAAGAAUUUGUGAACUAUCUCUAAGAGUAUACCGAUAUGACCUUUAAUUUCUGUUUCUUUUCACUUUUGUAACAGUUUGCAUCUACAAUGUACGGGCAAAAAUGAUUUGCUACCCAUAUAAUAAACGUAAGCAUAUCCUUAUAUAUCUUUUUGAUCAUGUGUUUUCGACGCUAAAAAAUGCGACGGCUUCAUAUAUUCUCUAAUCUUUUACUCUAUAAUUUUUUUUUGAAUCAUCUCUCCGAUUAGGUAUAAAGCUUAUUUAUUUUUUUUUCCCCUCUCUCCAAUUGCAGUUUACAGUGUAAUUGAUUGGAUAAUUUCUGUGUUAGGUAAAAUCUCCUCUCCAGGAUCCUCUUUUUAUUGCUUUGCUUACUACUAUUUACUUUCAAUAAACGUUCUCUUUACCAGGGUUUCCACUCGAUGUUCUGAAUGUUCUGAUAAUUGGUAGAUUUAUUCUUGCUCCAAUAGUCUUUGUCGUGUUCCUUAUCCAAAAAUACAGAAAAUCAUUGAAGAGAGUUGAUAAUGUGGAGAAAUUUCUGCACAAUCAGCAAUCGUGGAUGCCUAAAAGGUACUCUUACCCGGAGAUAAUUGCCGUGACAAACCACUUCACUCAUAAAUUAGGCCAAGGUGGCUUUGGUUCGGUUUAUAAAGGACAACUUUAUACUGGUUGCUUGAUUGCUGUUAAGAUGCUGGAGAACUCCAAGUUCAGUGCGGAGGAAUUCAUCAACGAAGUUUCAACAAUAGGUAGAAUUCACCACGUUAAUGUGGUCCAGUUAUUGGGGUUCUGUUAUGAGGGAUCCAAACGCGCACUUGUCUACGAGUUUAUGCCUAAUGGAUCACUCGAUAGGCAAAUCUUUCCCAAGGAGAGUAGAGGCCAAUCUUUUAGUUAGGAGAAACUCCACGAAGUUGCUUUAGGAACUGCUCGUGGGAUGAGUAUUUACACAACGGAUGUGAUGUCUGCAUUCUUCAUUUCGACAUUAAGCCUCACAACAUCCUGCUAGAUCAUAAUUUCAUACCAAAGGUCUCAGAUUUCGGCCUUGCAAAGUUUCAUCCCAAGGAAAAUGAUUUUGUGUCCCUCAUUGCCACAAGAGGAACCAUAGGAUACAUAGCACCUGAGCUGAUUUCAAGGAAUUUUGGAACUGUUUCUUGCAAGUCAGAUGUUUACGACUUUGGGAUGAUGUUGUUGGAAAUGGCUGGAGGAAGAAGGAAUUCUAAUAUGAAUGCAACUCGUUCAAGCAAAGCAUAUUUCCCAUCUUGGGUAUAUGACCAAUUAAAUAAGGGAGGUGAUUUAGAGCUUCGGAAUGUGACUGAAAUCGAGUCCGUGAUUGCAAGGAAACUAUGUAUGAUUGGUUUAUGGUGUAUUCAGGUGAAGCCAGCUGAUCGCCCCUCUAUGACAAAAGUAUUGGAAAUGUUAGAAGGGAGUAUCGACGAUUUGUAAAUUCCUCCGAAACCUUUCUUCUCUUCUUCUCGACAUAUCUCUGGAACUGGAAGAGAGAUUGAAUCAGAUUAUUCAGCAGAGUUGUUAGUGUCUGAAUCGAUUGAGGAAUGUUCUUUCAAUGAUAGUUAUGCUUAGUUUUGGCAAUGAUAUGUGUAAAAAAGAAAUAAAUUGUCCUUAUGCUACCAGAGCUUCUAUAACAUUAUGUUGAAAAAUUUCAGUACGAUUCAUUGUUUGAUGUGAAUAUUCCAAUUUUGCUCGUAUCGACUAGAAUAUGAUGUAGGUUUGCCAUGUGAUAAUGUACAUUCGUCAAACUAUUGAAACGCUGCUUGCUGCAUCUCUGAUUGAGCUAGAGUAUGCUUUGAACUCUCAGCUCCGGCUGAACUUAAUUUAAAGUACAAUUACUAAAGUAUAUCGUAGACACCUAGCUAUCCCCACACAUCCACUUUUACUUAAUAGAUAAUAAUUUCAUCUCACAACAGUGGUGAAUUAAAAGGCACAUAGUUCCCAUCAAUCCUAAACACACCCUUAGUCUCACGCUGAUAUAUCAUGGUAAGCGGAGGGUAGCAGUGAGGAAUUACCCGUUUUCUAAAGAACAUUACUUUGAUCUUAAAAACAUAAUUUUCUCAUUUCUUUACCUACAAAUUACUUUCACAACUCUCACUAAAAUCUAUAUCGCAAACAGCAAGUCCCAUCCUGUUCCUCCAUGCAUCUGAUAUUGGCAGAUAUUGAAGUUGACUAGUCUCUUUGGGACUACCAUUGACUUAGACAAAGGAGAAAAGAAAAAAGGAAAGAACAGAAGAAAUUAAAAGAAAUCCAUUUUCCUACCUUUUUCCAUGACAAACUGACAAUCAAACUCUCAUCUCCCUUAUUACUCCAAAAGCAUAACUCAAACUCUGCUCUAACUCAAACUCCGCUCUCCCUCUCCCUCCAUGUCCCUCGUGAUGAGUUUAAUAAUCCUCUUCCUUUUCUUACCUUACACAUGUAAAUUAGCCAAAGCUUCUGCGGAAGACAACAAGACAGAUAAAUAUGAAUUCUGUCAACCAACAAGAUGCAGUAAUAAGAGCCCAAGGAUCAGAUAUCCCUUCAGACUCAAAGCUCAACCAACAUAUUGUGGCUUUGAAGGGUUUGAAUUGUCAUGCUUAAGUGACAAGACAAUCUUGCAUCUUCAUUCCUCCGGUGAUUAUUAUGUCCAUAAAAUUUCUUAUCUGGACAGCAGUAUUACCAUUACAGAUGUGAAUGAGACAGCAUGCCCGUUUCAAAGUCUUAUCUCUUUCAACCUCACAAACUCCAAAUUCUUUUUUCUUCACUCUAAUGAAAGUUACGCUUUAUAUAACUGCACUGAGAAGGUUUCCCCAGGAUGGACUUCAUAUGGACUAAUUGGACCGAUCAAUUGUCUUAGCAAUGAAAACAAUCUUGUCUAUACCGUAGAUAGCGAAUCUUCAGUGGAGGAUAUGCCUCCAUCUUGCAGAAAAUCUGGAACAGUUGAGAUUCCUGGUAGAUUACCUCUGCAGGAUAUUGCAACGACGGCGAGGGCAAGACCAGUAGUCUUAGGAUGGGAAGCUCUUGAUGGAUGCUACGACUGCGAAAAUUCAGGGAAUUAUUGUGGGUUCAACACUACAAGCAAUUCGACAAUUUGCGUUGCCGUUAAACACAAAAAACGUAAGUAACCAUAUCUUUUCUCAGUCACCUCUCUCUACAGUGCUUGAAAGUGAAAGCAUCGUCUGUAUAUAGCUAACAAUAAAAAUAAUAAGUUGAAUUUAUUAUCAUUGUUAUAUAUGCUGGAAAAAUGAUCAGAGCAGUGUAACUGAAAAAAAAUAAUAAUAAUUAGGCUUUGCAUUAUUUUUUCAAUUGUAAAAUUGUAAUUACAAUUGCUGGAAGUUAAAAAUUAAAGAAGCCAUCUAUAUUAUUUUAGGUCAGUUUUUUAAAAAUUAAUAAUUUGAACUGAACUUAAAGUCCAAUCAAUCUGGUUUGAUUUAGUUAGGUUUGAUUUAUUUAUUUUUUUCAUUUGACCUGCAAUUUCUUUUGAUGGAUUUUUACUUUCUCUCAUAUAAAUCGAUGGAUUUUUUUUACAAAAAAAAAAAAAAAACUGACGAUUUGUUUUUUUGGCGGCAAUUAUAAUUUUACCCACCUCUAAUCUGUAUGGCGAAUAUCAUUGCUAUAAAGGCUGCUUUCCAGUAUUAUUGCCAGUUGCAAAGUGCUCGAUAAAAUGUUGCUAGCCUGGCUGAUUUGACUGUUUGAAGAAAAACUGAUACUACUCAGGACCAAAUAGAUAGUACUAAUGUUGAUGCUGAAAUCUGCUCGCCCUUUACCGGACCAGAGUUUUCCACCAACGCUUAUAUGCUUAAUGGGAACGAUGUCACUUUCUCCUUGCCUUAACGAUCGCUUACGUCACUGGGUUGGAAUCACCCCUUUUUUAUCUUGCUAAGCCUGCGUUCACAAAGAAUGGAUCAGAGACGCCGGUAGUUUUACCGGCGUAAACCCUUCGAUGCCUAAGUUAGCACAAGGUGUUUACGGGAAAACGGUUCAAUUUAGAUUUUGGAAUGGCUUAAAGUUCACUCUCAGUUUGUGUAGAAAAACAAUCUAGUUUUAAUUUGGCAGAGUUUUCCCUUCUCUAUCAGUUUUUUCAUCCCUUUCUUCAUUGGUUUCUUCAUCUUUUAUAGCCGCUGUCCCACGUUUUAGUUCACCCUUCAUCCCCCCUUUCUCGAGUAGUGGCAGCCCCUCAUGGGACUCCAACUACUACAUUGUGGGUAAACGUGGGACACCGUGUCUUCCUCAACGGUUCUGGGCAUAGCGCAACUGUCGUGAUGUCGUGAGAUCGUGUUCCCGCUCUUUGGGGAAUGGGUAUCUGCUCGGUAUAUGUCUCUGGUCGGCCCAUGUUUGUAGAAGGCUCAUUGUCAGUGUUCUGCUCGUACCAUUCGGCUGAGGUGAUCCACCCCGGGGUGGGGAUGAUGGCCUGGCUGAGCUGGUGCUCUUAUUUACUUAACACCAGUCCCCUAGUUUCUGGUCUUGCGAGUGAAACGAGUUGAGAGUAGAAACUGGUAAUCGAAUUUUACCGAUCCUGGGAACUACCCAUCUGGUCCUCGCGUUAUUGUGGUGGAUCUGAGGUUCCAUCUCUCGUCUAAGGAGGUUUUGGCAUGAGUGUGGGCCUUCAUGAAUAUAUCUAGUAUACACUUGGGCUUGCGUCUCGUCAGGCCUCUUAUAACGGUUAGUGACGUGGUGCUUCCCGACUCUUCGUAUUUGAAAUUUGAAACGACAGGCUAUCCAUCCUCGAUAUACGGUAAAUGAGCUGGCAUCCCUGUCACUUAAACGCUUCCAUUUCUCCCUUUUUGUUUCAAAUCCCUAGACUGAAAUCAUCAUUGUUUUGUUACUCGUCUCUCUGCCGUAAACCAACUCCUUCUCUGAACUUUACUCUCACUUCCUGCGUCCGGAGCCUCCACUUGCUGGGUUCUUUCUCUGUCACGGCAGCGCUAUCCGUGCCAGCCUAUUCCAGCUAUAGCCUUUAACCCCCUCUCUGGUUGUUGUUGAUUGGGUUUUGUAUUGUGGGUUCUGUAUUUGUCCCUUUUUGUACCCAUAUGUUUGGAUAUUUUGUGCUUUCCCUUUUUAAACUUCAAUAUGUCAAACCGGAAGGGAAAAAUAAUUGUAGAUGACAGUGAUGGAGAGAUAGAGGAUUCAUAUCCCCAUCUGUUUGGGCCCGAUGAUCUUUUAUACUCCUCUCGUAGUGUAGGUCCCUCCCAUCGUAAGGAUACCCCUGAAUACCCUCGUUCUAUGACCACUUUGCCUUCCCCUGAGUUAGAGCUUGUAGGAAACCGAGGUGGACCCGCGUCGGGCUCUGGUGAAAAUCGUAGUUCUGGUGGGGCUGGGGUCCCUGAAGAGGUGGAUGAUGGUGAGGGGAGCAGUUCCGAGCCGAGCAGACCCUCUAAGAAGAGAAACAUUGGCCAUAGGAUGGAGGCAGAUUCUUAUCCUAUUGACUAUAUAGCUUGUGCCACCACUCCAACUGACCUGCUCAAGCUUAGAACCCUUUAUAACAUACCUGAAGAGGUUCUCCUUGUAAUCCCUGGGAAAGAUGACGUUCCUAGUCAGCCUCCGAGGGGGUAUGUGACGAUGCAUCUGGAGAGUUUCAAAUUAGGAGCUCGGUUGCCCCUUCAACGUUAUUUUGCCAAGAUAUUGGGUGGUAUGCACCUGGCUCCAGGUCAGUUACACCCAAAUGGGUGGAGGGUUCUCUCGGCUAUAUAUGUGUUAUGGGAGAGGUGUGGAUCAGAGGAACCCUCCCUUAUUGAAGUAAAGCAUUUGUACCAGCUCAGGAGUAGCCCAAAGGAAGCAGGCUGGCAUUACUUCAUGUCGAGCUCUGCAAAGAGGAAGGCAAUCACUGGCUUUCCUUCAUCUUGUAAGAAUUGGAAGAACAAAUUCUUCUUUGUUGGAGGAAAUUGGUGUCCAGCAGUCCGCUCGCUUGGUGGUGAUAUUUACCUUCCAACGCGCUUUGUCACCCCAGGUUGUUUAUUUUUUGCCCAUUUUCUUUCUCCAAUCGUUACUUAUUGGGUUCUUUAACCUUGUUUGCUCUUUCAGAAUCGUGGGGUUUGAUUAAGGAGCUUGAAGACAGACCCUUGCUCCAGGUAGAAACUGCUCUAGUGAACGCGUCUACCUGCCAAGACCUCCUGUCAUCAACAAACCUGGUCGGAUCGCGCUUAGUGGACGUAGCUGCCGGAAUGGAUAACAAGAUCCUCAGUGCUAUGACCAGGAAGCGUGGUCGGGCUCCAGCAGCUCCAGCAAUCCCCCUCCUCCUUCGAAGAAAACCAAUGUUGGUCCACCCAAGGCUUUUGUUCCUGCUCUGCCCCCUCAUCCACCUCGAAAAAAUGGUGGGGCGAAGGUGAGUGAUAAGAGUCCUGAGGUCAGCAUUCAGCCCGGGGACCGAUCUUCUCCUCUUCCAUCUCGGGACCAAGGUGAUUACCUGAGCCCGUAUAAGAGGGAUUACGGCAAAUCGGUGGGACCCAAGAUGGUGAAGGACAUCGAGAGUAUGAACCUUGCCGAGUUAGCUGGUUCCGUUCAAAGGGUCUCCUUUAAGCUGGCCACCUUGGUUUCGUGCUACAAGAACAGGUCCAUGCGCCAUGAGAGGAAGCUUCAAGCUGACAACCAGGACUUGAAGAAAAAAGUUGAGUCUACCGAUCGCUCGAAGGAAAAGCUGCUUGAUCUGCACAAGCAAAUCAUGGACCUGGAGGAGAAAGUGGCCCUGGCUGAGUCCUCCUCCACCAAGCUUGAGGGUGAGUUGGGUAAUCUGAAGUCUGAUCUUCAGGCCACUCAAAGUGAGCGAGAUACCUUGAAGACGACCCUUGAGGGAGAAAUCAAAUCUCUGAGUGAGCAGUUGGCCGAGGUGAAAGGCAAAUAUGCUGAUGUGGAUGAUCGGCUGGAUGCAGAGUAUGACUCUGGGGUUGCUUUCUGCUAUAAGUGCAUCAUAUUUGUGCUCAAGGAAGAAUAUCCAGAGCUUAACAUGAGCAAGCUGAAGGCUGGAGUGCAGAACUAUAUGGCUGAGUCCGACCAGGGGGACAAAGAGCAGGGGAAUCAGGAUCAGGUGGAACCUCAUUCAGGUGGGGCCAGGAGGAGGGAGCAGGGGGUCGUACUCAUGAAGUAGGUCAAGGGUCAGUGCCUCCUCCCCCCGAUGUUGCUGAUCCUCCUCUUCCUGAGAUUGUUGAUCCUUCAACAACCGAGGCCGCUGAUCCUCAUAAUUUUUAGGUUUAUUUUUGUAUAAACCCUAAACUUUCAGCUGUUUUGUAAACAUUUUGAGUAUAAAUUUUGGAUGCUUUCCAUUGGGUUUUUUAUUGUGGUUUUGCUUAUGGAUCGUUUCUGCAAAUUGCCUUAACAUAUUUAGUUGGCUUUGCCUGCUAGUCCUUUAAUCGACUGAGCAGGAAUGGGCACUCGCUUGCCAUAACCAAAUUUGUAGAUUUGCCUGCUGGUCUUUUAGGCGACCGAGCAGGAUUAGUCACUUGCUUGCCUUAAUAAAAUUAGUAGGUUUGCCUCCUGGUCCUUUAGGUGACCGAGCAGGAUUAGGCACUUGCUUGCUUUAACGACUUUUGUGAAAUAGCCUGCUAGUCCUGAAGGCUACCGAGCAGGAAUAGGCACUUGUUUGCCUUAGCAAAAUUUCGUGAAAAUGCCUGCUGGUCCUUAGGCGACCGAGUAGGAAUAGACACUUGCUUGCCUUAGUAGAAUUUUUAUGAAAUAGCCUGCUGGCUCUUUAGGCGACCGAGCAGGAAUAGACACUUGCUUGCCUUAGUAGAAUUUUUAUGAAAUAGCCUGCUGGUCUUUAGGCGACCGAGCAGGAAUAGGCACUUGUUUGCCUUAGUAAAAUUUAAUGGAUUGUACUAGCAGGGGAAUUUCAUGCUGAAUUCAUCUUUAUUGAAACUUGCAUGGGUUACAGAAAUGUGAAAUAUAUGCAUGUGCCACAAGUCAUCAUGCAUUUAACAGAAAUAACUUAUCGAAAUAAAGACUUGGUAAAGCACUUUGCUUACUGGAAGUACUUCUUCAAGUGUUCAGCGUUCCAUGACCUCUUCACGUCUCGUCCAUCUGGGUAAGUCAGCUUGUAAGCUCCUGGUCCAGUCGCUCGUAUUACCCUGUACGGGCCUUCCUAUUUCGGGCCGAGAUCGCCAUGGUUAGGGUCCCUAGUGUUUUGGUUCACCUUCCUAAGUACCCAAUCUCCUGCUUGGAACUGCCUCACGCGUACGUUCUUGUUGUAACAACGCAUGAUUCUUUGUUGACAUUGGGCCACUUUCUGCGAGGCCCCUUCCCUUUUCUCCUCCAGCAGGUCCAAGCUCAAGCAGAUCUGCUCGUCGUUUUGCUCCUCGUUGAAGUAUUCUGUCCGAUGUGUCCCCACUCCAAUCUCUGCUGGGAUUACCGCAUCAUGACCAAAAGCUAAAGCAAACAGGGUUUCCCCCGUGGCAGUUUUGUGGGUUGUCCGGUAAGCCCAUAACACUCCUGGUAGCUCGUCGACCCAAGCUCCCUUCUUCUCUCCCAGCCUGGUUUUUAGGAGUUUCUUUAUUACUUUGUUGGCUGCUUCCACUUGUCCGUUUGCCUGGGGGUGUGCUGGGGUGCAAAACUUCAGGUCCACCCCCAAGUUUUGGCAAAAUUCUCUGAAGUUGUUGUUGUUGUCAAACUGGCUAUCUCAAAAGGGGCAAGGUGAAUUCUCGGCGGUAAAGUACCCCAUCGAGUAGCGUAUACCUUGCUGCUCGGCAUUUCAAUUUCCUUGUUUGCUUCCUGCCCUCCGGUAGAAUGCCAUUCCAGAUGUAGGAGAAAAUAGGGUCCAUCCAAGACUCCUCGAUGCUCACCCGCAUUACUUCUGCUCCCUCCCCUAUGCUUGGCGAGGUCCUCACUUUCAGUGGAACUGACUUGGGUAACUUUGGAUCCGCAACUGCGGCCAUUCUGGCCAACAUGUCUGCUUGGUAAUUCUCGUUUCGGGAUAUCUGCUUUAUCUCUACCUCUUGGAAUAGCCCGACCAUAUGCUUUGCCUUCUUCAAAUAAAGCCCCAUCUUUUCUUCUCUUGCUUGGAAUUGAUCACUGAGCUGAUUACAGACUAAUUGGGAAUCUGCUCGGAUUUCUACCUUUUCUGCUCGUAGUGCAUGUGCGAUCUCGAGCCCAGUGAAGAAGGCUUCGUAUUCAGCUUGGUUGUUCGUGAGCUGAAAUUCAAACUUCACUGCAUAGGAUAUCUCGAUCCCUUCUGGACUUCGUAUUACAAUCCCUGCUCCGGAUCCUUGUUCACUACGUGACCCAUCAACCAUUAUCAUCCACACCCCCUUUGGGUUCUCCUGUUCCACUAAUUGUUCCUCCUGAACUUCUUCUCUUGAUUCGACACGGUCAACCAUAAAAUCGGCCAGAGCUUGGGCUUUGAUUGCUCCUCGGGGCCUAUAGGAUAAGUCGAAUUCGCUCAGCUCCACGGACCACUUUACUAACCGCCCUGAUGCAUAUGGUGUUUGGAGCAUUUGCCGAAGAGGCUGGUCAAUCAUCACAACUAUCGGGUGGGCCUGAAAAUAUGGUCGGAGUUUUCGUGCUGCCGUUAUUAAAGUCAGUGCCCAUUUCUCCAUCAGUAGAUACCUGGUUUUUGCAUCUACUAGGGCCUUGCUAGUGUAGUAUACGGGGUGUUACUUUCAUUCUUCUUCUUUGACUAAUACCGAGCUGAUAGCCCAUUUUGAGAUUGCCAAGUACAAAAACAGCUGGUCACAUUCUCUCGGAGUUGAUAGUAACGGGGCGCGGGCCAGAUAUUCCUUCAGCUGCCCGAACGCCUCCUCACAUUUUGAUGUCCACUCCAUCUUUCUCCCUUUCUUUAUGGUUUGGAAGAAAUGGUGGCAUUUAUCUGUGGUCCGCGAGAUGAAUCGGUUCAAUGCUGCCAAUUUCCCUGUAAGGCUCUGCACCUCCUUAACUGUUCGUGCGGACCUCAUUUCUGUUACCGCCCGUAUCUUUUUCGGGUUGGCCUUGAUCCCUCGGUGGCUCACCAGGAAUCCCAAAAAUUUGCCCAACCUGACCCCAAAUGCACAUUUCUCCGGGUUCAGCUUCAUUUCAUACUUCCUCAGCAAUUCAAAGGUCUCUUCCAAGUGCUUUACAUGAUCCCUCGGUUCCUUAGACUUUGUGAUCAUAUCGUCCACAUAUACCUCUAUAGUGUGACCAAUCAAUGGCUUGAAGAUCUUGUUCACCAACUUUUGAUAGGUAGCUCCUGCAUUUUUCAGGCCAAAAGGCAUUACCCUGUAGCAAAAUAAACCCAUGUUAGUUAUAAAUGUGGUGUUUUCCUCAUCCUGCUCGUCCAUGGGUAUCUGGUUGUAUCCCGAAAAGGCAUCCAUGAAGCUGAGCAGACUGUGACCCGCUGUUGAGUCCACCAAUUGAUCUAUCUUUGGUAGGGAAAAACUGUCCUUCGGGCAUGCCUUAUUAAGGUCUGUGAAAUCCACACACAUUCUCCAUUUCCCGUUGGCCUUCUUUACCAGUACUACAUUGGAAAUCCACUCCGGGUACUUGGCCUCCCUUAUAAAUCCUACUUUCAACAGCUUUUCCACUUCGGCAUUUAUGGCCUCGUACCUUUCCUAGUUAAAGCACCUCAUUUUCUGCCUCACCGGCCUUGCCCCCUUCUUGAUUGCCAACUUGUGGCAAGCUACCCCGCGAUCAAUUCCUGGCAUGUCCUCGUGAGACCAGGCAAAUAUAUCUGCAUGAGACUGUAUGCACUUCACCAGCUCGCCUUUUACUGCCCCGGUCAAUCCUGAUCCGAUCUUAACCACUCUGCUCGGGUUACUCUUGCUCACCACAACCUCCUCCAGUUUCUCAACAGGUUCCUGGCGACCCUUUUUGGAAUCUCCUCGGUUAUCUAGAGAGGUAACAUGUAGUGUCUCCUUGGCUGCUGUAGCGUAACAGCUCCUCGCCAUUCUCUGGUCACCUUUUACUACGCCAACAACUCCAUUUACUCUGUACUUCAAUGCCAGGUAAUGCGUGGAUACAACACACUGACUUACCCUCAUGAAAGGUCGUCCUAGUAUCAUCUAGUAAGGGCUUCUUUCUUCUACCACAACAAAGUCCAGCAUCAUUGUUCUUUCAAACGGCUUUGACCCCACAGUAAUCGGAAGUUCGAUAAUCCCCAUAGGGGUUAACCGUCCUCCUCCAAAUCCCUUUAAGGAUGUAUUUGUCCGCUCCAGUUUUAAGUCUGAAAUUCCCAUAUCAUCUAGGGCCGACUUAAACAGUAUGUCAACCGAGCUACCCGUGUCCACCAGUAUUCGCUGCAAUUCUGUACCGACCACCAUUGCCUUAAUCACCAGUGUAUCCUCAUGAGGAUAUAAAACACCCUCUUCGUCGUCUUCUGUCCACAUAAUGGGAACUUGCCUCAUUUUCGCCCUCUUGGCUGCUGGCAAAUUGAAAAGCACCUCUUUGCUGGUCAUGGCAUAUCUCCCAUAAUUCUUCCGUACCCUGUUUGAAUCCCCAGCCAAUGUUGGCCCUCCUGCUAUCACACGGAUAGUGGGCUGUUCACGCUCUAGGCUUCUCUCAACUCCCUCAUCCCGCGUAUACUGUGAUUCAAUGACAGGUGAAACUCCAUCUACAUAUUCAUCCAAGUAUUGGUUCCUCACCAAAUCCUCCACCUGAGUUUUUAGGUCACGACAUUGGUUUAUUGUGUGACCACGAGUAUUAUGGAAUUUGCAGAAUCUGCUCUUAUCACGUCUGUGAGCAGGUUUUGUUAUGGGGGCAGGAGGAUAUAGCAGGCCUCGCCCCUCGAUCCUCUCAUAUAGCUCCUCCAUAGAGACUUUUAAUGGGGUGUAUUGUCUAUAUGUCGAGCUCUGGUUAAUCAGUUGGACUGCUCGGCUAUCCUGGAUAUCAUCCCGAGCUUGCAUUGAAGGUAGCUGACUGGGUCGUCCAGCUCUGGAGUUGACUGGAUGUAGUGCCCUGGGAGCGUUGUAAUAAGGAUGGGCAGCCAACUGCCGGAAUUCUCGUUGCCGCUCCGGGAAUGGGGGGUGAGGAGACUGAGCCCGGCUGUGUUGGAACUGUUGUGGUCUCUGAGCUAUGGGGUAAGGGCGGGACCGAGCUGAUAUUCCGCCCAUUACUGAGGAUUCCCCAGCUCGCUUUCCCGACCCGCUCCCGUUCGGGGUUCUCAUUUCCUUUCGUCUCAGCUUUUCAAGCUGUUCACUUUUUAUCCUCGCCGAUUUCUCCUCUUCGAUUUCUAUAUCUCUCCUCGCCUGCUCAUACCCCGUCGAAUAAUUCUGUACUAGGGGACUUCUCAAGUUGUACCACAGUCGGCCUAUCCUCACGCCCUCUUUUAAUCCCCUCAAUGCCUGCGGGUGAUUGAAAGCCCCCAGAUCAAGCACGGCUCGGUGGUAUCGUUUUACAAAUUCCCGAAGGGAUUCAUGUUCCUCCUGCUUAAUCCUUAUCAGUUCCAUCAUAUCGUCCUCUGGGGCUACUGCUCCUCGGAACUGCUCGGCCAACUCUUGGCACAUCUGCUCGCAUCCUUUUAUACUUCCUCGUGGCAACUUGCGGUACCAUUCUCGGGCUCGUCCCUCUAGUGUCAAUGGGAACACCUUGCACCUCUGAGCUAGUGUUAGCCCCUGCACACCCGUCAUGUCGUUGAAGCGUUCAAUAUGUACCAGCGGGUCACUUCGCCCGGAGUAUUUGAGGUCGGGAAAGCGGAAAUCUAUUGGGAUUACAGUACCCAUGAUCUCGGCUGAUAACAUAGACUCUUCAUCUAACAUUAUCCUCCAACUCGGGGGCUUUUUCUUGCCCUGAAUCUCCUCCAUCAGCUGCGCCAAUCUGCGCACCUCACCUUCCAAUUCUACAGCACGGUCUGGAUCACGCGCAGCUAUAUGAUCUCGCUCCUGCUCGGUAUUCUACAACCGCUGUCUGAGCUCUCCUUCAUCCACAUUGCUUCCUCGGCCAUCAAUUUCCAGUACUCGUCCGGAGCGGGGUUGGUCUCUCCUUUUAUCCACGCGCUCCCCUGGAACCUAACCAAUAUUUCUAUGGGGAUGCACCCCAUAGGGUUGGUCUACCGGUGGGGGGAUUUCCUCGACUCUACGGCUCCGGAGGCUGGGUUCUGCCUCAACUUCAUCUCUCCCCACGGGGGUUUCAUAGCCCCUUCUCCGCUCAUCCUUCAGCUCAUGCAAUAUGGCCGUGAGAGUUUCCAUUUGUUUCUCCAUCCGUUCCAUUCGAUCUUGCAUCAUCCUCUCUCUAGCUUCAUUUGCUAUCUCUCGGAGAGUGAUUGUUUCACCAGUUUCAUUGUCGCCACCUAGGGCAUCCUUCCUUGAUAUAUCCAUAACCGAUUGUUCGCUGCUUCUCCGAUGACUACUAAUUUGGUGGUAGCUUUUUAUCCAGCUCCCCACAGACGGCGCCAAAAUGUUGAUACUGAAAUAUGCUCGCCCUUUACCCGACCAGAGUUUUCCACCAACGCUUAUAUGCUUAACGGGAAAUGUCACUUUCUCCUUGCCUUAACGAUCGCUUACGUCACUGGGUUGGAAUCACCCUUUUUUUUAUCUUGCUAAGCCUACGUUCACAAAGAAUGGAUCAGAGACGCCGAUAGUUUUACCGGCGUAAACCCUCCGAUGCCUAAGUUAGCACAAGGUGUUUACGGGAAAACGGUUCAAUUUAGAUUUUGGAAUGGCUUAAAGUUCACUCUCAGUUUGUGUAGAAAAACAAUCUAGUUUUAAUUUGGCAGAGUUUUCCAUUCUCUCUCAGUUUUUUCAUCCCUUCCUUCAUUGGUUUCUUCCUCUUUUAUAGCCGCUGUCCCACGUUUCCGUUCACCCUUCAUCCCCCCUUUCUCGGGUAGUGGCAGCCCCUCAUGGGACUCCAACUACUACAUUGUGGGUAAACGUGGGACACCGUGUCUCCCUCAACGGUUCUGGGCAUACAUGAUUAAACAUAUAAAUCAAAAACUCCCCUUGAAUAUUUGAUUUAUGAUAAUUUGAAAGCUCCCCCAUAAUAUUUCAAAAACAUGCAUAAAUACUUGAAAUACAAAAAUAUGUAUUACAUGUCUUCGUGUCUUUCAAAAACAUGCAUAAAUACUUGAAAUACAAAAAUAUGUAUUACAUGUCUUCGUGUCUUCAUAUUCAAAAUACAUGACUUCUCCCCCUUCAUCAUCAAAAUUACUAGAAAAUCAUGCUAAGACCGAAAAAAAAAAUUAACCAAAAUAUCAUUAUAAAAAAAAAAAAAAACUUAUCAUAGUUAUUACCCCCUUAAAAAAAAUAGAGACAUGCAAUUUGAAACAAGAUCAUAAAAAAUGAUUCAAGGAAGAUAUUACCAAUUGUGUGCGAGCAAAAAUUUCGGCAGAGUCUCCCCUUAAAAAUGAACAAAUCCUCAAAUACACAAUGUGAUUAAAAAUACUUCCAUAUAAUCUUAAACAAUUAUAACAAACCAACAACUCCAUUAAUUCAUUAAGCAACACACAUAUAAUCAUCAAUAAUCAAAAGUACUAUAAAUCCAUACUUAUACCAAAAAGAAUAUCUCAAUAAUUAAUCAAGAAACAUUAAGCGUGCAAUUAACUAAAGAGUCAUAUUCAUUCUAAGAAUUCAAAAAAUAUCAUCCAAAUAUAAAUUAUCCAAAUAUUAAACAACCAUAAUCCGUAAUCCACAAUUAAAACAAUUAUACAUAUGAAAAUGUAGGUGCAUAAUAUAAUAAGAAACCAUGGUAAUUUAAAAUACCCAAAAUGCACAAAUUCGGUUUUGUAAAAUAAUGAGUGAAAUGGAUUAUUUUAAACCGAUUAUAUUGAUCCAAGAGAUGAUUUAAGAUAAUGGAUGGUGUUGAUUGGAUCAAAAGUGGACUAAAAAGAGCUUAAAUAUGCAAUUUCGGGUUUAACAAAAAUUGAGUGAAAUGGAUUUGUUUGAACCAAGAAAAUCAAUCCUAGAGAUAAAUGAAGCUAGUAUAUGAUGUAGAUUGGAUAAAAAAUGGGCUAAAGGAAGCUUGAAAAUGAAGAGAGAGAAACGGGUAGAAUGAGAAUUUUUUAUUUUGGGUUUUAUGUGGAGAGAUGAUGAAAUCGAGUUUUGAGAGUGAAAAUUGAAAGAGUAAUGGAUGAAUAAUGAGUUGGAUGAUUGAUUUUAACAAGAAAAUGAGUGAAAGAUGAAGAGAUUUGAGAAAGAAAAUGGAGAGCACUAUUCAUGCGGGAAUGGAAUGAGGAUGGAAUGAUGAAGAACAAGUGAAGAAAUCAUGAUGGAGAAGUGUUUAAUGAAGAUGAAAUGCAUGGGUAUUAGUUUGAAUGGUUGAUUUGGGCAUGAAAAUGGAUGAAAAAGGAAGGAAAAUGGAGGUGAAAAUGGAUGGGUUGCUCACGGUUUUGAAUGAGAGAGAAAGCAUGUGCAGAAAAUUCACGAAAGAGGAAGAAGAAGCAAAAAAAAAUUGACCACACCCGUGACCAAGCGGCUAGCCGCUUGCUCUCGGGUUAGGGGGACAUUUCCAAGCGGCUCCAAGCGGCUAGCCGCCUGGUUGCUGUCCAGCUGCACCUUAGUUAAUUUCCGGCCAAUUUUAAUCAAUUUCGUGACCAUUUUGUGAUCCCGAAACAUCUCAAGAGCCAAUUUAAUGCAUGAUUCAUUAUUUUAAACAUCCAAAAGAUAAUUAAUUCAAACAAAUAAUCCAUCCAACAAGCAUACAAUCAUGAAGCAUAUAAACAUUCAAAACUUAAUAAAAUGAAGAAAGGUCAAAUUCGAAAUAAAAACUGUAUUGAUUGAGCCAGAAGUAACGUGCAAGCUAUAUACCGUUAGAAAGAUAAUUAAGUUAGCUUUCCAAUAAAUUUUACAAAGCUGGAUUUGGAGUUCUCUAGAAGGGGUUAUGACCAAUUCAUUACAGCUUGUGCAGACUUGGAAUUUUCAACGACUCCUUUGUUUUCCAAACAAUUUUAAUAGAUUCAAUAACAUAAAUAGAGAUGUUAAUCCGAAAAUUUCAUCAUCUUAAGUUCAUACCGAAUUUUUGAAAAUUGUUCUUCGCAAAGGGGUUUUGUAAAAAUAUCGGCAAGUUGUUUUUCCGUAGAGAUAAAUUCUAAUGCAAUAUCACCUUUUUGAACAUGAUCUCUCAAGAAAUGAUGCCUAAUCUCUAUAUGCUUGGUCCUAGAAUGUUGAAUGAGAUUCUUUGAAAGAUUUAUGGCGCUAGUAUUAUCGCACUUGAUAGGAAUUUUUUCAAGAACAAUACCAUAGUCUCUAAGUGUUUGUUUCAUCCAAAGUGCUUGUGCACAACAACUUCCUACGGCAAUAUAUUCCGCCUCAGUAGUUGAGAGUGCCACGGAAUUUUGUUUCUUACUAAACCAUGAAACAAGUGAAUGACCAAGAAAAUGGCAAGUUCCACUAGUACUCUUUCUAUCGACCUUGUGACCAGCAAAAUCGGUAUCCGAAUAACAAGUUAAAUCUAUAUGAGUUCCUCUAGGAUACCAAAGGCCAAUAUCUAUGGUUCCACUUAAAUAACGAAAAAUUCUUUUAACAGCAAGCAAAUGAGAUUCCUUGGGACAUGAUUGAAAUCUUGCACACAAACAUACACUAAACAUGAUAUCGGGUCUACUUGCGGUUAAGUAAAGUAAGGAUCGAUCAUACCUCGAUACUUUUUAAUAUCAACCUCUUUACCUUUCUCAUCUUUAUCAAGCUUGAUUGUUGUACUCAUUGGAGUAUUCUUGGUAUUUGAUUCAUCAAUACCAAAUCUCUUGAGCAAGUCUUUGACGUACUUAGCUUGGUUGAUGAAAAUCCCCUCAUUGUUUUGUUUGAUUUGAAGUCCAAGAAAACACUUCAAUUCUCCCAUCAUGCUCAUCUCAAAUUCCUUACUCAUACAAGAGUAAAAUUCUUUGCACAAAGAUUCAUUAGUAGAACCAAAAAUAAUAUCAUCAACAUAAAUUUGAACAACAAGUAUAUCUUGAUUUUUAUUUUUAAUAAAGAGGGUAGUAUCCGCUCUUCCCAUCGAAAAACCGUUAUCCAACAAGAAAUUUUUAAGCUUAUCAUACCAUGCUCUAGGUGCUUGUUUUAAUCCAUACAAUGCUUUUGAUAACUUAUACACAUGAUUUGGAAAUUUCUCAUUUUCGAAACCAGGAGGUUGUUUCACAUAAACUUCCUCCAUAAUAUAACCAUUUAGGAAAGCACUCUUGACAUCCACUUGAAAUAAAAUAAAAUCUUUAUGACAUGCAAAUGCUAACAACAUCCUAAUGGAUUCUAAUCUAGCUACAGGUGCAAAUGUUUCAUCGAAAUCAAUUCCUUCUUCUUGGUUGUAUCCUUGAGCCACUAAUCUAGCUUUAUUUCUUACAACCAUACUAGAUUCAUCCAUUUUAUUUCUAAAUACCCAUUUAGUGCCUAUAAUGGAUUGAUGUUCCGGUUUAGGAACCAAUUCCCAUACUUUAUUUCUCUCAAAUUGAUUUAACUCCUCUUGCAUUGCCAUAAUCCAAAACUCAUCAUUUUCCGCAUCCGCAAAAGAUUUUGGUUCAAUUUGAGAAAUAAAUGCAACAUGCUCACAUGUGUUUCUAAGUGAUGAUCUAGUUGUGAUACCUCUUGAAUGAUCACCUAAAAUUAAAUCCUUAGGAUGAGAGGAAACAUACCUCCACUCCUUGGGGAGUGUUUGAGAACUACCUUCUUGUUGCUCCAGCUCCAUAUUUGUUUGUUCUUCUUGUCUAUCCUCUUGAUUUUCUUGUGGUGCAUUCUCUUGAUUCUCUUUUGAUGAUUCUUCUUGUAAAGUUUCAUCUGCAUCAUCAUUAUCAACUCCUUUCUCCGCAGAGGAGGGGUUAGAUUCAUCAAACGUAACAUGCAUGGAUUCUUCCACAACUAAAGUUCUUAUAUUAUAAACUCUAUAAGCUUUGCUUGAGUUUGAAUACCCGAGAAAGAUGCCAACAUCAGAUUUUGGAUCAAAUUUACCAAGAUUAUCUUUUGUGUUUAAAACAAAACAUUUGCAUCCAAAAACUUUGAAAUAACCAAUGUUGGGUUUUCUAUCUUUCCAAAGCUCAUAGGGAGUUUUAUUGAGAUGAGGUCUAAUCAACACCCGAUUUAAAAUAUAACAAGCGGUGUUGACGGCUUCGGCCCAAAAAUAUUUUGGUAUUGUUUUUUCAUUUAACAUGGUCCUAGCCAUUUCUUGAAUAGACCUAUUCUUUCUCUCAACAACUCCAUUUUGUUGUGGAGUCCUAGGUGAUGAAAAUUGAUGCUCAAUGCCAAAAUCAUUACAAAAAUUUUCAAAUGCAUGAUUUUCAAACUCUCCACCAUGAUCACUUCCAAUACAAGUAAUAGAAUAACCCUUUUCAUUUUGAACAUUUUUACAAAAAAUUCUAAAUGCAUCAAUGGCAUCAUCCUUAUUAGUUACGAAUAAUACCCAUGUGUAUCUAGAAUAAUCAUCUACAAUUACAAAUGCAUAAAAUUUUCCACUUAAACUGGCAUAUCUAGAGUGUCCAAACAAAUCUAUAUGAAGUAAUUGAAGAGGUUUUGAAGUAGAGAUAUGAUUCUUGUUUUUGAAAAAUGUUUUGAUUUGUUUUUCAAAUUGACAUGCUUCACAAAUUCUAUCCUUUUGAAAACCAAUUUUUGGAAGACCUUUAACUAAAUCGUUUUUCGAAAUUUUUGAAAUUAAAUCCAUGCUUGCAUGUCCUAGUCUUCUAUGCCAUAACCAACCAUCAUCAUGCAAUGCCGAAAAAUAUUUAUCAUGAGUAGAUGCACAUUCUAUAUCAAUCGUGUAAACAUUGCCACAUCUAUUUCCCAUAAAUAAAUUUUUUCCAUCACAUGCAUUCUCAAUAACACAUCUUGAUUUAUCAAAAACAACUUUAUAACCUUUGUCACAUAGUUGACUAAUGCUAAUCAAAUUGUGUCUCAAAUUUUCAACCAAACAUACAUUUUCAAUUAGAGUUGAAGAAAUUUUACCAACAUUUCCAAUUCUGAGAAUUUUUCCUUUUGAGUUAUCUCCAAAGGAUACAUCUCCACCAUUUUCGAUUUUGGUGAAACUUGAGAACCAUGCAUAGUUUCCGGUCAUAUGCCUAGAACAUCCGCUAUCCAAGUACCAUUUAUUUUUCUUUUUCUUCAAGCCCUGCAAAGAAAAUCUUUAUGUUUUAGGUACCCAAACAUUUUUGGGUCCUUGAUCGUUAGCAACGGUUCCUUUUGAAACCCACACACAUUUGACACCAUUAUAUGCAUUCCUUUUUACGGGACAUCUAUAUUUCAUGUGACCAUUUUGAUUACAAUAAUGACAAACAAUCUUAUGAUCAUUUGUGGAGGUAGCUUUAACAAAAUAAUUCUUAUAAUACUUUUCUUCAAAUUAGGCUUAUACCCAAGUUUUCCUUUAUCAAAAACACAUUUUUGGGAGUUAAGCAUGUUAUCCAACAUCUUUUGCCCAUUUGUAAAUUUUAGAACAACAUUACUAAGUUCAAUAUUCUUUUUCUUGAGCAUUUCAUUUUCCUUUUUCAAAUCAUCUACAUAUGACUCUAAAUGCUCAUGUGAAGUGCUAGAUUUUUCACUUGAUAAUGCAACUCUAUUAUGCAAGGUUUUAUUCUCUAAUUCUAAUCCUUUAAUCUUCUUAUUCAAUGACUCAUUACAUUUUUGCAUGGCAUCCUUUUCAUUUGUAGAUUCUAGCAAUUUCUUUUUAAGGCAUGCAUUCUUUUUACCAAUUUUCAUCAACUCAUCAUGCAUUUCUUUAAAAGCAUCAUACAAUUCAUCAUAGGUUGGAUCACUUACCUCAUUGAGAUCAUCAUCAUCUCCUAGUGCCAUAAGUGCUAGGUUUGAUACUUCUUGCGACUCAUCUUCAUCACUUGAAUCUUCAUCGCUAUCAUCCCAAGUAGCAACCAUAGCUUUCUUCUUGAGUUUGUUGAGAAGUGGGCAUUCCGAUCUUAUAUGGCCGGGCUUCUUGCAUUCAUAGCAUAUGAUUGCCUCUUUCUUCUCCUUUUGGUUUUUGAAAUUUCUGAAUUUUCUUCGGUCACCGAUUUUCUUGAAAAAAUUUCUGAACCUCCUUGCUAGCAUAGUCAACUCCUCAUCAUCCGGCUCACUUUCCCCAUCACUCUUAUAUUUGGUGACUUUGAGAGCAAUGUUUUUCUUCCUUUCCUCAUAAGAAAUAAGAGAACCAAUUAAAUCAUCAAUAGGUAAGAUAUUCAAAUCUUUAGCUUCCUCAAUGGCAGUCCUUUUUGGUCUCCAUUCCUUAGGUAAUGACCUAAUGAUUUUCUUAACUUUCUCGCUAUUUGAAAAGGUCUUUCCUAGGGCUCCUAGAGUGUUUACUAUGUCCGUAAAUCUAGUAUACAUAGAAUACACACUCUCAUUUUGUUCCAUUUGGAACAAUUCAUAUUGCCGAGUGUACCUACUAAUUUUAGACUCUUUCACUUGAUUCGUGCCUUCAUAAACAACUUCAAGUUUGUGCCAAAUUUCAUUAGCACUUUUACAACUAGACACUCUAUGAAACUCUUUCUUAUCGAGUGCACAAAAUAAGGCAUUCAUGGCUUUGGAAUUUAGAGAAGCUUUUCUCUUUUCCAAUUCAUUCCAUUCCCGUGAAGGUUUUGGAAUGUCUUCCCCAAUUUCAUUUUUAGUCAAAGGCAUAAAUGGAUCAUCAUAUACAACUUCCCAAAUUUCAUAAUCUAAUGCUUGUAAAUAAAUUCUCAUCCUAGUUUUCCAAUACGGAUAGUCAUUUCCGUCAAAGAACGGUGGCCUAGUUGUGGAUUGUCCUUCCCUAAAGGUUGAAUCAUUUUAGGUUGCCAUGGAUCUUUUACUCUAGACUGUUAAGUCCUAACAAGAGAACUAAGCUCUAAUACCAAAUGAAAUACAAGUAACGCAACCCAAGAGGGGAGGUGAAUUGGGUUUUUAAAAAUAAUGCAAUACGAUUCGCACAAUAAAUCAAUCUAACGCCUUAAUGAAAUAGAGAACAAUAAAUUCAAGCAAGCGUAAAAAUAAAAGAGCAAGAGAAGAGAAAAACAAACACGCGAAUUUUUACGUGGUUCGACAAUCCCCGCCUACGUCCACGCCUCCAAGCCAACCGAGCUCGAGGAUUUCAUUAUCCAAGCCUCCCAAGGCUUCAAGUUUUUACAAUUGACUUCCAAGGUGUCAAUGAACCUUUACAACCAAGAGAUUAUCUCCCCAAUCUCUUCACCCCAAGUGUUUCCCACACUUACACACUCACAAUUUGAUAAGAAAUGAAAAUUACAACAAAAACUCUCUUUAAGAGUGGAUAUGCAACUAAUAGCUCAACAAUGAUUCAAUCAAUUAUGAUUUGCGUUUUGGAAGCUUAAUAUAUGUUGUAUGAUCUUAUAUUUGGGUGCAUUACUUCUUAAAAUGAAGUUUGAGUUGAGUUUUUAUAGUGAAAGCCCAAAAACUAGCUGUUAUAGGCAAAUUUCAGCGCUCAAGCGGUUAGCCGCUUGAUUAUCCGGCUAGCCGCUCAGGAACAGUAAUAUUACCGUCAUUUUUGAAUUUGCUACAGUAACAAUGUUCACUAAAAUUAUACUUUGGCCUAAAACUUUCUAUAAUUAUAUUAUGGCCCAAAACGUCAUAAAACUUUACAAAUAGGUCCAAUUUCAGAACUUCCUAAAAAUAGUUGUCUUUCCCAAACUUUCUGAAAUUAUGAUAUAGCCCCAAAGAUUUUAUUAUUUCACACAAAGGUCCUUUUCAACAUAAUAUCCAUAUUUUUCAAAGUUCUCAAAACCUUUCACUUUAGUCCAAAAUAUUCAUAAAUUAUAGUAUGGCCCAAAACAUUUAAAAUGUUUGUAAAAACGUCCAACUCUGAAAUUUAAUACUUAUUUAAAAUCAAAGAUUUCAAAUCUUAGCAUUUAAGUCCAAAUUACUUAAAUCCACAAAAUACUUUACUUUAUAAAAAUAAAACCUUUUAGUUUAUGAAAAGUAUUUAAUUAAAUUAAUCUCUUGAGCUUCUCAAAUGCUAAAUCAUGCAUCAAUUAAAUCAUACCGGCUUUACAAGAAUUUGUCGCAAUAAUUUAUCCGUUGAGCUCUAAACUUUAUUCUUGAUUUCGCCGUUGUCCGUUGAGUGUCUUCAAUCUUGAUUUCACUUGAUCACUUGCAUAAAUAUUAUCCUUAAAAAACUAGUGAAAAUGUGAAAUACAAUAUUUAUUAUUUUUACUUAAGACACAUGUUUGUAAUUAUCAUCAAAAUUACAUUAUGUAUAGCCCUUUAGGCUAACAGAAGCCAUCUAUAUUAUUUUAGGUCAGUUUUUCAAAAAAUUAAUAAUUUGAAGUGCAAUUUCUUUUGCGUUUUUCUAGUUUUUUUGGUUUUUUACUUUCUCUCAUAUAAAUCGAUGGAUUUUUUUUUACAAAAAAAAAACUGACGAAUUGUUUUUUUGGCGGCAAUUAUAAUUUUACCCACCCCUAAUCUAUAUGGCGAAUAUCAUUGCUAUAAAGGCUGCUUUCCAGUAUUAUUGCCAGUUGUAGAGUGCUCGAUAAAAUGUUGCUAGCCUGUCUGAUUUGACUGUUUGAAGAAAAACUGAUACUACUUAGGACCAAAUAGAUAGUACUAAUUUUCUCUAUCUCGUCAAUUUAAUCUUGAAUCUUUAUAUUACAAUUAAUUUUCGUUAAUGGUGAGAGAUUGAUUAAACUCACAAUGCCUGAUAAAAGUUUAAUCUAUUAUAUUUUCUUGCGUCCUCAAUGAAUACAAAUUAAGAAGAAUUAUUAUACUAAUACUUUUUCUCUAUGAUUGUCUUUGUCAACUUUUUAUGUAAGAGCCAAUAUACGUUCAUGAUGGCAAAUUUGUUGAGAAAAAAUUUUGUUUAGAAAAAAUUUUGUUUAAUCAAGUGACCCUCAAUAUUCACAUGGAAUAAGAGACGAGGGAAAAAAAAUCAUUUUGUGAUUGCAGAAAGGCAAAAAAAAAAGCAUAAUGACAGGGAUUUCUAAUUGUGAUCAUUUUGGUGUUUUCAUUGUGUACUUGAGUAAAAGUUAAAAUUUUAAAAUUGAAGUCUGUAAGGUAAAAGAGUGUGCUUACUUUGCAGUUCAAAUAAUUUCAUCUUCUGCUCAUUAGUAUUUUUUCAUUAUUUAUGUUAAAUGACAACCUAAUUAUCUAUCCACCCAUGUGAAUAAGAUAUAUAAUUAUCAUUUAAGGUAUGAAAAAAUACCUAUAUAUGAGAUGGUCACAUGAGAGGGACUUGUUAAAACCCAAUCAAAUAAUAUUGAGUCCUUAAGCUACCAAGUUAAGCUUGCACGGGUCCAAACUUUUAGCAUCUCAUUUUAUUGUUUGAGUUGAUUUUUUAACUAACUUUUAGCAUCUCAUUUUAUUGUAACAGAUGGUUCUGGCCCUUUAUCUAUAAGUCUAAUAUCCACAUGCACAAGCAUUGGAGGCAACACCCUAUUUGCAUUAGUGAUAUUUCUCAUUUACAGAUCAAGAGAAUCUGAAAAAGAAAAAGAGACUCAACUGAAGGUGGAGAAGUUCCUCGAAAACUACAGGACCAUCAAUCCCACCAUAUAUACUUACAAAGAACUGAAGAAAAUAACAAGCAGAUUUAAGCAUAGGCUCGGUCAGGGAGGUUACGAAAGCAUGUUCAGAGGAAAACUCUUCAAUGCAAUUCCAGUUGCUGUCAAGAUGUUGGAACAUUUAAAAGGAAAUGGACAAGAGUUCAGGAUUCACCACUUCAACAUUGUUCGGCUUCUAGGGUUUUGCUCUGAAGGAAACAGACGUGCUCUUAUUUACGAGUUUAUGCCCAACGGAUCACUUGAAAAAUUCAUCUUCUCAAAGACAAAUAGCUCAAGUCAUCGUCCAUUGAGUUGGGAGAAGCUGAGGAAGAUUGCAUUUGGCGUUGCCCGUGGAGUAGAGUACUUGCACCAAGGGUGCAGCCAAAGGAUCCUGCACUUCGAUAUCAAGCCUCACAAUAUAUUAUUAGACCAUAAUUUUCAACCGAAGAUUUUAGAUUUUGGACUGGCUAAGUUGUGCUCGAAGGACAUAAGCAUUGUAUCUAUGACAGCUGCCAGAGGCACUUCUGGCUACAUUGCACCUGAACUUUUCUCCAGGAAUUUUGGUGAGAUCUCAUACAAGUCUGAUGUUUACAGUUAUGGAAUGAUGCUGUUAGAGAUGGUCGGAUGCAGAAAAAAUAACGAUCCUGCGGUUGAAAUUCAUAGCCAAAUAUAUUUCCCAGAGUGGAUUUACAAUAGAAUGAGGCAAGGACAAGAGCUCUGUUUCGAUUUUGAGGAAUAUGUGGAUGAGGGAAUUGCCAGAAAGCUUGCAAUUGUGGCACUUUGGUGCAUUCAAUGGAAUCCCACGGAGAGACCUUCCAUGCCAAUUGUAUUACAAAUGCUUGAAGCUGAUUUACAAAGCUUGGAGAUCCCUCCAAUGCCCUUUGUUUCUGCUGAUGUUGAGGCAGGUGCAAUCAAUUGAUCUAGAUAGCAGAAGAUUACAAUUAAAAAGGGAUAUUGUUAAUUUGUUUCCAAUUUUCCCCGAUUAUAAGCUAAAUUAUUUAGUCCUUGUUAUUGGAACGCUUGAAAACCACUAAAUUGAGUUUUUGUUUGACUGUGGUUGUUUUAUUUAUCGCUUAAAAGCUUUGAUGUGUUCGAAUGAUACAACAUUAAUACAACUAUGGAUGAACUUUAGUCUAUUUUUAAACACAUCAUUGACAAAAAAUUAAGUAUAACUAUCGCUGAAAGAGCAUUCCUUUAUUGAUAGGCUUAUAGUUCCCAAAGAGGGUAGUUGGCAGAAACUCCUUGAGCUAGGUUGCUUUAGAAAAGGCUCGCAGGAUCGAGUAUUUAUAGAACGGAUGUGAUGUGUGCAGUCUUCAUUUCAACAUUUAAGUCUCACAACAUCCUGCUAGAUCCUAAUUCCUUCCCCAAGGUCUCAGAGUUCGGCCCUUGCAAAAUUUCAUCCCAAGGAAAAUGAUUUUGCUCCCAUCAGCGCCACAGGAGGAACAACAUAUAGGUUAAAAUAUUACCUGAGCUAUGACUAAGGCGCUGAUCGCUCCUCUGUGACAAAAAGUUUUGAAAAUUUUAGAAGGGAGUAUUGACGAUUUGCAAAUGCCUCCAAAACCUUUCUCAUCUUCUUCUCGACAUAUAUUUGGAAGAGAGAUUGAAUCAGAUUCUUCAACAGAGUUGUUAAUGUCUGAAUCAGUGAAGGAAUGAUCUUUCGGUGAUAUUUAGGUUUAAUUUUGCCAAUGAUGAAUGUAAAAUGAAUAAAUGAAUAACGUGCAGUUAAUGACAAAUGUUCUUCUUCUUCUCAUUGCUUUAUCUCGAAUUGGAGCCUAAGGCACACACGUUUUGCGAGUGAUAGAUAAUUUAGUUGUUGAAAUCUUUUGAGUUAAUACAACAAGUUUCAGAUUUGAAUAUGUCCAUAUGGGUGGCAAAAGAAUUUAACUAGAGGUGUGCUAAGCUUAACUUAAAACUCUGAGGUGGCCACUUGGGAUUGUAGCCCAGUGGUGAACCAUUGCCCUUAAAGUUAAGUAUGACUAUGAGGGCAAUAGUUUAAGUCCCCACGGACUCAAAAACUCCCUCAAUAUUAAGCAUAAUUGUGUGGAGAUUACUUAUAACAUAUUUCUCCCUUGCAAAAUGUGAGUGGAGUAGAGACAUCCCUCCCCUGUGAGGGGUAUUUGGCUAGACAUGUACUUCAUAGAAUAAAAAAUGUAAUAAUGUAAGUCCCAGGUAUAUAAUGACCUGCUAUCAUAGCAGUUGUAAAUAUCUUUAUGACUUGGCUGGGCUUGUACUUCAUAGAAUGAAAAAUGUAAUAAUAUAAGUCCCAGGUAUAUAAUAGUUAAAAAUGAUGAGUUUGUUUGUUUACUAAGAAAAUGAAAGGAAAAAUCAGAGAAACAGAGAAGAGAACUUGUAUUUUAUUCAUUGUAUAUUUCGAUUAGUUACACACGUUUAUAUACUAUGAUCUGGAAUCUUCUUCAUUCUGUUUAGACGUGCUAGAUUAGCUGAGCUAGUAACUGAAACUAACUUGCCACAUAAGCAGCCACGUCAGCAUGUAUAACAGACUCUGUUUAACUAACAAUAUUAAUCAGCAUGUGAUUAAUUAAUUAUCUUAACAAUAAUGACAUGCUAUCAUAGCAGUUGUAAAUAUCUCAAUGACCUGGUUGGGCUUGUACUUCAUAGAAUAAAAAAUGUAAUAAUAUAAGUCUCAGGUAUAUAAUGACCUGCUGUCAUAGCAGUUGUAAAUAUCUCUAUGACCUGCUAUCAUAGCAAUUGUAAAUAUCUCUGUGUAAUACAGUAACCUGAUCUUUAAUCAGUUCAAAAAAAAAACUCUGAGGUGUAAAUUUUCUUCAUUAUUUUACCCCCACAUUGAAAAGUAAUCACAAAAAAUCAGGUCAAUGGCUUCAUUUAGCUUAUUCUUUAUUAUUGUUUUAUGCAAAUGUCAUGGAGGACUACUCUCUUGUGGGGUUGCCAUUGACUUAAAUAAAAUGCUUUUAAGCCAUACAAAAAUGAAUGGCUAUCUUUAAUAUUACACUAAAAAACAUCUCUCUUUCUCUGUAAAUCCAUGUCACUUUUUCUGAGUUCAAUAAUCUUCUUCCUUCUCUUCCUUACACAGAAGCCAAAACUUCAUAAGGAAACAACGAUACAAAUAUUUAUGAACGUUGUCAACCAACAAAAUGAAACAUACCAUAUCAGAUUCCCCCUUUAGAAUCAAAUUUAAAUGAUUAAGAUUGCUUAUGAUAACACAUACCCUACUAAGUUUAUUUAAUAAAUGAUUACAAUUUACACACGCACUCUUUACAUUAUUAUACCCUUUAUUUGAACAACUAAAUGUACUUUAUAAUAACUACUAAUAUAACAUUGAAACAAAAACAAAUGUAAUAAAUAAAAUUAUCAUAUAUUUUAUAUAUCAAAGCAUGUUGUGUGUUCUCAUAAAAAAAAUGAAUUACUGUCUUCGAGUUUGUGGUGAGAAAUUAAAGUAGCGAGCGAAAGAUGUUGACUGGAUUGUUGCAUGCGUGGAAAUUGUUACAAAAUUUUUGUCUCAAUUUGAAGGUUUACUAAGAAAUUUCAGGUCAAGCUAGGGUCAUCAUCACCGACGCAAACUUGCAAUCAAAACGUUUACUAAGAGUUGACUGACUUGUAAGAGUGUCCGGUGUCCCCUCUCGCAUGGAUGCUAAAAGUCUUGCGCUCAAACAAAUUCAAUUAAUAUGCUCUUUUAAACCUUUUCAAUUUCCCCACCUUUGUUUAUUAUUAUUUUUAAAAUAAGAUAAUACUACUUUUGAACGAUUAAUUAUUGCUAUAUCAUCUUCAGCUAGUAGAAUCAGAUAGUUGAACGCUAUAAUAAAUUUACUAUAUGCAUGUGCUCCGUUGUUAAGUGAUGAUGUAAAUACGUAUCCAAAACUUUGAAAAUGCAACCUUCUGUUUAAUUUACUGAAAUUCAUUGUAUCUUGGGAUUGCAUUAACAAUGAGUGGGGAAGAAUCAUCAAUUCUCCCAACUCUUCUGUUUUGUCUAUUGAUCUAUCUACUCACCACUGAAAUUGAAGCAAGAGAAGUACUUCCACAAAUCUGUUCUUCUUCUUGUGGAGAUAUCAAAAACAUAAGUUACCCUUUUCGCCUAAAGGGAGAUCCAUCGGGAUGCGGUUAUCCUGAGUUCGAACUGUCUUGCCAGAGCAACCAAACCAUCCUAGAAUUUUUCAAUUCUAUAAAGUACUAUGUAAAGAGAAUUUCCUAUGACAAAAGCAAAAUCAGUGUUGUCGAUGUUAACUUAGCCAAUGGAAGCUGCAGCCUUUCACACACACCUUUUCCCAGAGAAAUCUUUCUCGACCGUUACGAUGGUCGCUAUUUUGAUGAUACCGAUCGGGUUUAUUCACUUGAUUAUAAUAAAUACCUGUAUGCCUAUUUCGUGAAUUGCUUGAGGAUCUCAUUGAUCAGGCUUUUGUAAAAGUUCCAUGUUUGAGUGGAGGAAAUCAGUCAAAUUUUUAUGUUAAUUACCAUGGCUCCUAUGUAUCGGACUUUUCAGAGUCAUGCUCGUUCGUUUCAAUGGUUCUUGUACAUAAUGGGAAUGUAGAAAAUCCUUCUUAUGAAGCCCUCCGAGAAUUGCUGGUGACAGGAUUCGAUCUUAGAUGGUCAGUUGGAUGUAGGAAUUGUUUUACAGCCCGUAGAGGAUACAUUAUUACUAUUAUAGCGGGAUAUUUUGAUUGCUUCCAUUAUAGCUCAAUUACAAACGGUAAGCUUAUGCUUAUAUGUGCAUACAAAUAAAUGGAGACCUUUUAUUUAUUAUUUUCAAUCUUAAUCUUUUAUGUAUUUAAGAAUUUGCGAACCAUCUCUAAAAGAGUAUGUUUACCAGUAUGACCCUUAAUCUCUGUUUCUUUUGAACUUCUGCAGUCUUUGCUGCAUGCCACGCCGCACCGGGAGUAUUCAAAAAAUUUACCUGCUACCAAGAACUUUUGACACGUAAUAAGCCUAUGCUUACAUAUUUUAAAUUCUGCGAUUGUGUUUCUUGGUGUUAAAUUGAUGGCAUCAUGUAAUUUGUUUAUUUAUUUUCCAAUCUUGUGCUAAAUAACUUUUUCUAAAUCAUCUCUGUGUAUGUAUUUAUAAAGCCUAAUCUUUUUUCCUCGGCUUGCAGUUUCCUACAAACUCCCGCCACUUUUCGACAGCCUCAAAUUGUCACUGUUAGGUAUGGUUUCCUGGCUGGAAUUCCUGUUCCUGUUAUUUCGAAUUCAGCUACUUACCUAGAAUUAAACUUUCUUGUUUCCAGCGGUGCAUUCGUGUAUGUUACAAUUACUAGGUUCAUACUUGGUUCAACAGUUUUACUUGUGUUCCUUAUCCACAAAUACAGAACAACAUUGAAAACAAUUGAUAAUAUUGAGAAAUUUAUGCGCAACCAGCAAUCAUGGAUGCCUAAAAGGUACUCUUACCCUGAGAUAAUUGCCAUGACAAACCACUUCGCUCAUAAAUUAGGCCAAGGUGGCUUUGGUUCAGUUUAUGAAGGACAACUUCAUACCGGUCGCUUGAUUGCUGUUAAGAUGUUGGAGAACUCCAAGCUCAGUGCGGAGGAAUUCAUCAACGAAGUUUCAACAAUAGGUAGAAUUCACCACGUUAAUGUGGUCCAGUUAUUGAGGUUCUGUUCUGAGGGAUCCAAAUGUCCACGUGUCUACGAGUUUAUGCCUAAUGGAUCACUAGAUAGGCAUAUCUUUCCUAAGGAAAGUAGAGGCCAAUCUUUUAGUUAGGAGAAACUCCACGAAGUUGCUUUAGGAACUGCUCGUGGGAUCGAGUAUUUACACAACGGAUGUGAUGUGUGCAUUCUGCAUUUUGACAUUAAGCCUCACAACAUCCUGCUAGAUCAUAAUUUCAUCCCAAAGGUCUCAGAUUUCGGCCCUGCAAAGUUUCAUCCCAAGGAAAAUGAUUUUGUGUCCAUCAGUGCCACAAGAGGAACCAUAUGAUACAUAGCACCUGAGCUGAUUUCAAGGAAUUUUGGAAUUGUUUCUUGCUGUUAAGGAAGCUCAUUGUGCUGAGCUUAUGAAGAAUAGAAAGGUGAAGAAGCCGUUAGUCUCAGCAAGUGAAGUUAGUUAAUCAUGCCAGCUCAGCAGUGCCAAGUCAUCAGAGUAAGUUAUGAAAUAACAAGUCAGGACAAGUUGUUAAAGUCUGUUAUUAAUAAAUCUUGUGUAUAUAACUAAUCUCGUGAGUAUAUAAGUUGUGAUUGAUUCAGUUGUAAAGUGAUUUGACAAAAGUCCAGAUUCAAUGAAAUAAAAUUUUUCUCUGCAACUUUUCUCUCAAAACAAACAGCUCAAGUUUUCUUUCAUGGUAUCAGAGCCACAAUGGCUAGUUCCAGUACAACUAAUCAAAAUCAUUCGAUUGUUCAUAAAACUCAAUCUACUCAAAUUUCGUUUACUUUUGCUACAACCGUCAAGCUUGAUCGAUCUAAUUUUCUUCUCUGGCGUAAGCAAGUUCUGACUUCAAUCAGAGGAAAUAGACUUGAAGGAUUUAUCUCAGAAAAUCAAAAUAUUCCAGAACAAUAUUUGUCUCAAGCUCGAACUGAUGGAUCUGUGGAGAGAACUGAGAAUCCAGCAUAUGUUAAUUGGAAAGCUCAGGAUCAGACUCUGCUUAGCUGGCUCUUUUCAACUAUAAGUGAAGGUAUUCUAAGCUCAGUUCUCAAUUAUGAUACUUCAUUUGAUGUCUGGAAAUCGAUUGAAAAGCAAUUUGGAGUCCAAUCUGAAGUAAAGGUAAUGCAACUUCGAUAUGAAUUGAAAAGAAUCAUUGUCGAUUGAAGAAUAUUGCUCAAAGAUGAAGAUACUUGCUGUUGAUGCGAGAUUCUGGUUACCCUCUCUACCUUGACCAGGAUCUCUCCUCAACCAACUCGACCACGAUCAAAAUAUCUCCUCGUAAGACUUCUUCUCUAGAGGCUCCUGCGUACACAGAAACAAGUCAGAGCAUGCCAGGUGUUUUCCCGGCGUAAACCCUCCGAUGCUCAAGUCAGAAAUGAAGGUUUCGUGUUCUUGGGAAAGUUAGCCACUGAUCUUAUGGCUUCUUUUUGGGUCUCAAUUAUUCAGAGCUCUCUUUAUCUUGAUUUCAAUGUCAAAAAAUCUAACACUUUUACCUUCGUUGGCUAUCUUUUUAUAGGCUUCUCUUGAGUUCAGACCUUCCCUCAAUCCACGCUCAUUACCUUCCCACCUCUCGGAAGUAGAUGCUCCGUUUCCGUAAUCGUGGGUGGUUGCAUGACCUUCGUGCCUUGAUUCUUGGGUUGGAGUGCACGUCUCACCAACUGUCGUUGACCGGGUUUCCUCGCCUCAACCCCUAGCAGGAAUGUCUUUAUGCUUUUAAUACGAGACCGGCCUCGCGGAUGGCGUAUUCGUGGUCGAGCAGAAUAUUCCUGCUCAUGUUCCCCAGCUAACAGACUCCUGCCAGAUAUACCUGCUCGUGAAACCCUGCUACUAAAUGUCUGCUCAUCACGGCUGGUCCUAUCGAAGUACAUCACCCAAACACCGGUCCCCUAGUUUCUGGUGUUGGGUAACAUAGUGAGCCGACAAUAGAAACUCAACAGUUCUGGCUCGCGCGGGAUAGGAAAAGGCUGCCAAGAGUCGUGUCGCAUUUAAUUGCGGAUGAGGUGAUGUGGCAGAAAUCUACCCUUCCGUUUGAAUUUCAAAUCGAUGGUUACGAAACUCUUGGGAUUUGUGCCGUUAAAUGCUGGCAGCCCAAGAGUUUGUUCCUCAUUAGGAAAACCCGAAACCCCCAAAAGAGAAACUCGUCAUUUACUCACUUCCUGUCUCUCCGGCGGAUGAGUAUCGGCAUAAAAGCUUCCAUCCCUAUCUUUCAUCCUUGUCUCUCUCCGACUGAGCCACAACUUCAGGUAUUAUUUCUACUUCCUCGGUCAUGGAUAGUUGUAGACAAUUUCUUUUCUCUCUGUUUUGUUUGGGUAGUGUUUGGUGAUAUUGUUCUAGUUAUAGUUUAGGGAAUGUCAAAAGGUAAAGAGAAGGUCAUUGAGAUUGACGACGAGGAGUUAGACUUCUUACCUAGUCUGCUCGCCGAUCCUGCCUUUGACCCCGGGAUCCCCUUAGAACCCAUUAGAUCUAGUGUUGGGACUAGUGCUAGGAGGAUGUUCCCCUAAAUAACCUCCUCAAGCAACAAUAAUGGCGACGAGGGAUUUUCUGGUUCGGAAGACACCCUGAGUGAGGAUCAGGGAGAUGAUUAUGGUGAAAUGUCUUCACCAGGAACAUCGCGACCAGAUAGGAGGGUCACAGUAGGAGGUAGAGCUCUAUCAGAGCAUUACGCUAUUGAUUUCAUCACAUGCACGACCACAGUAGAUGAGCUCACUAACCUCCGGGUUAGGUAUGGAAUUCCUGAUGAUAUUUCUCUUAAGAUCCUAGGAAAGAAAGAUACUCCUAGUCGGCCUCCUACGGGAUAUGUUACUCUAUUUCUGGAGGGUUUUAAACUUGGGCUGAGGUACCCCCUGCAACCCUAUUUUGCCCGAAUACUUAAUGGGUUAAAUUUAGCUCCUGGUCAGCUGAAUCCUAACGGGUGGAGAGUACUCUCUGGUCUGUUCAUAUUAUGGGAUAGAUGUUGCCAAAACGAGCCCACAGUUGAUGAGGUGAAGCACUUGUAUCAGCUAAAGAGUAGUCCCAAAGAUGCCGGCUGGUAUUACUUCCAAUCAAGUGCUAAGACCAGGAAACCCAUAACUGAUCUUCCAACUGGUGGUGGUGGGAAUUGGAAGAAAAAAUUCUUUUUUACUGGGGGUCCCUGGGGUCAAGUUGCACAGAUUGACGAGAAGGUUUUCGCGUCCCACCCCGUUUCGUGGUCCCAGGUUACCUGCUCGCUUUAGAUGUUUUUUCUCCAUAGUUGUUCUCACUUUGCUGAUUUGUCUCUAAUCCAAUAUCUGUUUGCAUUGCAGGUUCUUGGGGUGUGCACUACCCGCUUAAACCUUAGCAGCUCAAGCGGGUCGAGGCUUUACUGGUCAAUUCCUGUUCGAACCGAGAGCUGCUAACUACUUACAACUUGGUCGAAUCUGGUUUGGUAUCCACCGGCCAUAAGAUAGAGGAUGCUGUGAUCGGGGCUCUGAAUCGGAAACGUCCUCGACCUCAUACUGCCAAGCGAGACCAGAGUAAAGAUGCUCCCACUGCGAAGCGAGUGAACAUUGUACAGCAGGUUCCCCCCUUGAAGACUCUAUCACCUUCUCCUGCCAAAGCCGGGGAGACCAGUGGAGUAGCCACUGACCCUGCUUCCUCUUCUCCACCAGCUGGGCCGAGAUCUCGCUUAUCUGACCAUCGAGCAGAGCAUCUAGUCUCCUACAUCAGUGAGUUUUCUCGGCUCAUGAGCAAGAAGGACUUGGAGGACUUCGACGGCAGUACUCUGGGUGAGCUGGUGGGAGCUAUGCAGUAUAACGCUUUUCACCUCGGCUGCAUGGCCACCUACUAUAAGGCGAAGGUCGGUCGCUAUGACCGGAAGAUGAAGGAGGACAUUCAAUUAGUCAAGACCAAAGCUGAUGCUGUCGAGAAAAGAGCAGGAGACCUGAAUCUCGAGAAUUUGAAGCUGAUAGAGUGAGAAUCUCUCGGUCAAGCAAAGGCCAUUACUUUUGAGGAAGAGCUGACUACGGUCAAAGAGGAUCUGCAAAGGCAGAAGGCUAUGUACGAGGCUCAGCUCGAAUCUCUCCGGGAUGCCCACCAGGUUCAGGUCGAGAACCUAGAGAAGGAAGCUGACAACCAGUAUGACCAGGGGCUUCGGCACUCCUAUCGCUGCAUCAUGGCUGUCUUAGGGAACCAGCACCCUGAUCUAAAGAUGGAUGAGCUUGCUGCUGAUGUUGCUCAAUACAUCGACGAGGAGGCAACAAAAGAGGAUGUCGAUGAGGUGGAGCCAAAUGCGGCUGAUGAAGGAAACUCUCCUCCUCGUGCAGUCCCUGCUGAUGUUGCUGAGGCGAGUACCUCCCGGGUGUAACUGGCGAUACUCCCCUGCACCUGAGGUGGACCAGACAAUCGAGACUGCCCAGCUUACUGACCCGCUGUCCUCUUGAAUGUAUCUUGCAUUGUAGUUACUUUUUUAGAACACUGUAUGUUAAGAAUAGCAGCUUUUAUUGGUAAAUCAAUAAGAAUGUUCUUAUUUGUUUUCUUUGCCUCGAGCUCUUGGCAAAUUAUUUUAUUUUUUGGUAAAUUAUUUUUAUUCGUUAAAAUUGAUCAAUUAAAAGUUCGGCUUCCUGUUGCCCUACGUUUAAGAGUCUGCUCGCCUUAGCCUGGUCGAGCCGAUUCUGGCACACUUGACUUUUGGUCUCGCCAUAAAAUAAGCUUUGAGACUUAGUCUUUGCGUGCCUUAGAAAAUUUUCAAUACUUGGGAGUAUGCUCGCCUUCGCUUGGUCAAGUAGAUCCUGACACGCUUAGCUUCUGGUCUCGCCCUAAAACAGGCUUUGAGACUUAGUGAGCCUUUGCAUGCCCUUGAAAUUUUUCAAUGAUUAGGAUUCUGCUCACCUUCGAUUGGUCGAGCAGAUCCUGGCACGCUUGGCUUCUGGUCUCGCCAUAAAACAGGUUUUUAGACUUAGCCUUUGCCUGCCUUAGAAAAGUUUUUCAAUGAUUGGGAUUCUGCUCGUCUUCGCUUGGUCGAGUAGAUCCUGGCACGCUUGGCUUCUGGUCACGCCAUAAAACAGGCUUUGAGACUUGGUGAGCCUUCGCAUGCCUUAGAAAUUUUUCGAUGCUUGGGAUUCUGCUCGCUUUCGCUUGGUUGAGUAGAUCCUGGCAUGCUUGGCUUCUGGUCUCGCCAUAAAAUAGGCUUUGAGACUUAGCCUUUGUCUGCCUUAGAAAUUUUUCGAUGCUUGGGAUUCUGCUCGCUUUCACUUGGUCGAGCAGAUCCUAGCAAGCUCGGCUUCUAUUCUCGCCAUAAAACAGGCUUUGAGACUUGGUGAGCCUUCUCAUGGCUUAGAAAUUUUUCGAUGCUUGAAAUUCUGCUCGCCUUCGCUUGGUCGAGCAGAUCCUGGCACGCUUGGCUUCUGGUCUCGCUAUAAAACAAGCUUUGAGACUUGGUGAGCCUUUGCAUGCCCUAGAAAUUUUUCGAUGCUUGGGAUUUUGCUCGCCUUGGCUUGGUCGAGCAGAUCUUGGCACUCUUGGCUUCUGGUCUCGCCAUAAAACAUGCUUUGUGACUUGGUGAGCCUUUGCAUGCCUUAGAAGUUUUUUGCACCGUUACAAGUGAAUGAAAUUCCUCGACGUUUCAUUAAUCGCUGAAUUCAACUUACAUAAGAAUGCAUAGCAACGAGAACAAAUUGAAAUAAUUUUAAAACAUGAUCAAGUCUGACUGGAAAUAUUUCCUAAGGUGCGCUGCGUUCCAUGGGCAUUUCACCUCGUGGCCAUCCGUGCGAACAAGCUUGUAAGCUCCGGGUCCAACUAUCUGCUUGACCCUAUAUGGCCCCUUCCAAUUCUGUCCAAGCACUCCUUGAGUCGAGUCUUUCAUGUUAUGAUUCACUCUCCUUAACACCCAAUCUCCGACCUUGAACUGUCGUACAUUCACCUUCUGGUUGUAAUACCGAGCAACCCUCUGCUGGUAGACGGUUGGUCGCUUUGAUGCUUGCUCCCUCUUCUCAGUUAGCAAAUCCAGGUUUAGGCACAUACGCUCGUUGUUCUCCUGCUCAUCGAAAUGAUAUGUCCGGUGCGUGGUCGUCCCUAUCUCGACUGGUACAACCGCUUCAUGUCCGAAGGCCAAGGCGAAUGGAGUUUCCCCAGUUGCUGUUUUGUGGGUUGUCCUGUAUGCCCAUAAUACACCUGAUAGCUCAUCAACCCAUGCACCCUUUUUUGUUCCAAGCCUGGUUUUUAAAAGCCUCUUGAUCGUCUUGUUGGCUGCUUCUACUUGUCCGUUAGACUGAGGAUGAGCAUGCGAGCAAUACUUCAAUUCUAUCCCGAGGUUCUGGCAGAAGUCCCUGAAGUUCUGGUUAUCAAACUGCCUACCAUUAUCUGUUAUAAAAGCAUAAGGGAUCUCGUACCGACAGACCAGGUUUCUCCAUACGAAGUCAGUUGUCUUUUUCUCUGUGAUCCUACUAAGGGCUUCUACCUCUAUCAACUUCGUGAAAUAGUCUAUUGCUACUAUUGCAUGUGUUGCUGCUCCUCGUCCUUUUGGCAAUGGCCCAAUCAAAUCAAUUCCCCAUUGAGCAAAUGGCCAUAGGGAGGCCAUAGAAGUGAGCUUCUCCUGCGCAUCCUGGUGCAUUGUCGGCCAAAAAUAUCCCUGCCUUAGAACCUUGUAGGCAAGGGAUCUCGCACCAGAAUGGUUCCCGCAAACUCCUUCAUGUACUUCUCUCAGCACGUAAUCUGCGUCGUACUCGUCUAAACACCGAAGGAACGGCAGGGUAUAUCCCCUCCGAUAUAAUACCCCGUCAAUCAUUGUGUACCUCGACGCUUGGGCUCUAGUCUUCCGAACUUGUAACUUAUCUGGUGGCAGUAUUCCAUUCUGGAUGUACGAGAUUAUCGGGUCCAUCCACGAGCACUUCUGUUCUAUCUGCAGCACCCCCAAAUUCUGCUCGAUGCUAGGGCUGGACUUCACCUCCAAAUGGAUUGACUUAGGCAUUUUCGGAUCUGCUACCACUGCCAUCCUGGCCAGAAUGUCUGCUCGACUAUUCUCCUUCAUUGGGAUUUAUAUCACCUCAACCGCUUCAAACUUCCCGAUCAUCUGCUUGACUUUCUUCAAGUACUGUUCCAUUUUCCCAUCUCUCGGCUGAAAUCUUUCACUGACAUGAUUUACAACUAGUUAGGAAUCAGUUCGGAUCUUCACCCUAUCCGCUUUUACCGCCUUAGCCAAUUCCAAACCUGCUAUUAGGGCUUCAUAUUCUGCUUGGUUAUUUGUGGCUGUGAACUCCAACUUUAUAGCAUAAGAGAUCUCCUCCCCUUCUGGGCCUUCCAAGACAAUCCCUGCUCCAGACCCCUACUCCCCUGAUGACCCAUCCACAGAUACCUGCUAUACUCGAGCUUCGUUUCUGGCUGUAGCAGUAUCCAGCUCCUCGAAACAUACUUCGGGCUCCGCGAAUUCUGCUACGAAAUCGGCCAUUGCCUGGGCCUUUAUUGCUGCUUGGGGCUUGUAACUUAUAUCGAACUCACUCAACUCUAUAGCCCAUUUUACUAGCCGACCAGAGGCAUCCGGCUUGUGUAGAGUUUGCCGUAACGGUUGGUUUGUGAUUACCGAGAUAGGGAAUGCUUGAAAGUAUGGCCUCAGCUUCCGAGCAGCAACCACAAGAGCCAGUGCCCAUUUUUCUAGCGGCGGAUAUCUGGUCUCAACAUCUAGCAGGGCCUUGCUCGUGUAAUAUAUUGGGUAUUGAACCCCUUCUUCUUCUCUCACCAGCACAGAACUUGUGGCAUGAUCCGAUACUGCCAAAUAUAGGAAUAACACGUCCUCAUCUCGUGGCGUGGACAACAAAGGAGCUUGCUGCAAAUACUGCUUCAAAUUCUGGAAAGCUUUUUCACAUUCAGGGGUCCACUCUGUUUUCUUUCCUCUCCUUAUCACUUGAAAGAAUGGCUGGCACUUAUCUGUUGCCUUGGAUAUGAAUCGGCUCAAUGCCGCCAAUCUCCCCGUAAGGCUCUGCGUCUCCUUUAGGUUACGAGGAGAUCUCAUCUGCACGAUUGCCUGAAUCUUCUCGGGAUUCGCUUCGAUCCCCCGAUGACUUACCAUGAACCCGAGAAAUUUGCCCGACUCGACCCCAAAAGCACACUUCUCCGGGUUGAGUUUCAUCUUAUACUUCUUCAAAAGUCCAAAUGUCUCAUCGAGGUGCUUGACAUGUUCCUUUGGGAUUUUUGACUUGGUUAUCAUGUCGUCCACAUACACCUCCAUUGUUCUCUCUAUCAGUGGUUUAAAGAUUUUGUUCACCAGCCUCUGGUACGUGGCCCCCGCAUUUUUAAGACCGAAUGGCAUUACCCUGUAACAGAACAAACCCUGGUUAGUAAUAAAUGUCGUGCUCUCCUCAUCCUGCUCGAACAUGGGGAUUUGGUUGUAUCCCGAAAAUGCUACCAUGAAUUUGAGCAGGCCAUGAUCGGCUGUUGAGUCUACCAGCUGGUCGAUCUUAGGUAAGGGAAAGCUGUCUUUCGGGCACGCCUUAUUGAGGUCUGUGAAAUCUACACACAUCCUCCAUUUGCCAUUAGCCUUUUUUUACUAACACCACAUUCGAUAUCCACUCAGGAUAGUUGACUUCCCGAAUGAACCCUGCCUUCAAGAGUUUCUCCACCUCGCCGUUUAUAGCCUCAUACCUCUCCUGGUUGAAGCACCUUCGUUUCUGCCUUACUGCCGAGCACUCUUUUUUUAUUGCCAACCUAUGGCAUGCGGCCUCAGGGUCGAUUCCCGGCAUGUCCUCAUGUGUCCAAGCAAACACAUCUGCAUGAGCUCGUAAGCAAUGCACCAGCUCUUGCUUCUGCUCAUCUUUAAGUUUUGACCCGAUUCGGACUAUUUUUCCUGGAUCAUCUUGCUGCAAGCUUACUGUCUCUAGUUCCUCUACAGGCUCAUGUCUGGCAUUCUUGGCCUCUACUCGAGUAUCAAGAGAUGUAAUCUGCAUUGCUUCCCUUGCUGCUGUGGAGUAACAGCUUCGGGCAAUUCUUUGGUCUCAUUCACCCGAUACUUGAGAGCUAGAUAAUGGUUGGAAAGUAUCGCUUUACUCAUGCUCAGAAAGGGGCGGCUUAGAAUCAUCUGAUAAGGACCCUCUUCAUCAACCACUACAAAAUCCAGUAUCAUGGUCUUUUCUGUCGGGGAGCUGCCAAUUGUGAUGGGCAGUUCGACCACGCCUAGAGGAACCAGCUUUCCUCCCCCAAAUCCCUUCAAGGAGGUAUUGGUAUGCUCUAAUCUCAAGUCUGCUAUUCCCAUCUCCUCCAUAGUUGACUUGAACAAAACAUCAACCGAGCUUCCUGUGUCAACCAGAAUCCGGUCAAACUUCUUGCUAGCAGCGGUGGCCUUGAUGACUAAGGCAUCCUCGUGUGGAUAUAGAAUCACUUCAUCAUCAUCAUCUGUCCACAUGAUUGGAACUUGCCUGACUCUUACUCGUUUGGCUGCUGGGGUGUUGAAGAAUACCUCUUUGCUAGUCAUUGCAUAUCUAGCAUAGUUCUUCCUCGACCUGUUGGAAUCUCCUGCCAACGUCGGGCCCCCAGCAAUCACUCUUACUAUAGGCUGCUCGUGGCUCAAGUUUCUAUCACUCUGCUCCCCUUCACAUGUCGAGGCCACCAUCGGGAAAGUCCUAUCUAUAAACUCGUCCAGGUAUCGAUUUCUCACCAAAUCGUCAACCUAGGUCUUGAAAUCUCUACAUUCUGUUGUGGUAUGGCCAUGAGUGCUAUGGAACUUGCAAUAGCGUCCCCUAUCCCUUAUGCUGGGUAGCUUUGUUAUUGGGGUAGGGAGGUAGAGUAAUCUCUGGUCUUUUAUGGCCUCGUACACCUCGUCCAGGGGCAUCUUCAAGGAAGUAUACAGUCCAUAGUCCUGGUUCUGGUCGAUCAUGUGCACUGCCCUUUCUCUGUUUGUGCCGUUCUGAACUGGAGGAGGUGGCAACGCUUCUGGUCUGCUCCCUCUACCACCAUAGGGGUGUGGAUGAGGAUGACCAUAUGCCGAGUCAUGCCUCCUCUAAGGCUCCCUAGCUGGUGAACGAGGAGGUUGCGCCCUGCUGCGCUGAUACUGUGGUGGUCUCUGAUGAGGCUGGUAAGCGGUGACCUGACCUCCUGAACCACUACCCGAGGCAUGGUGGUCCCUCCUCUUGAUCGGCCCAUUUCCUAGUAAGGCUCUCUUCUCUUUCCUUCUCAACCCUUCUAGCUGGUCUGUCUUAAUCCGUGCUGCCUUUUUCUCCUCAAUCUCUAUAUCCCUCUUAGCCUGCUCGUAAGCGGCUGCAUACGUCUGAAUGACUGAGCUCCUCAAAUUGUACCACAGCCUUCCUAUCUUCACCCCUUCUUUCAAUCCCCUUAAUGCCUGAGGAUGGUUGAAGGCUCCCAAGUCGAGGACUGCGCGAUAAAACCUCUUGAUGAAUUCCCGAAGGGUUUCUUCCUCUCCUGCUUCAUGCUUUUCAACUCCAUCAUGUCAUCUUCCGGUGCCAUUGCCCCACGAAACUGCUCUGUAAAUUCCUGGCACAUCUGUUCGAAGGAUUUAACGCUUCCUUGAGGAAGUUUUCGGUACCACUCACGUGCUCAUCCCUCCAGAGACAGCAGGAACACCCUGCAUCUUUGAGCUUGGGAUAAUCCUUGCACCUCAGUUAUGUCGUUAAAGCACUCUAUGUGCACCAACGGAUCGGUUCGCCCCGAGUACCUGAGGUGUGGGAGGCGAAAAUCCCUUGGAAUGAUUGCUCUCAUGAUCUCUGCCGAGAGCGGGGAUUCUCCGUCCAGCAUUAUCCUCCAACCAGGUGCUCUGCUCCUUCCUUGCAUGUCAUCAAUUACCUGCGCUAAUCUGUGCACUUCUUCCUCCAGCUGUACUGCACGACCAGGGUCACGUGCUGCAACUUAAUCCCACUCUUGCUCUACAUCAUAUAAGUGUUGCCUGAGCUCUGUUUCCUCUGCAUUCGCCACCCCGUCAUCAUUAUCAAAAAUUUGCCUUCCUGGGGAUUGGUCUUCUCCUCUAUGGACUUAUCCCCAUAAAGAUAAGUUACCUCCCUCACCACCAAAUCUUCUGGUGGUCCGACUUCUCAUCAUAUCAUCGUGCCCUGGUGCCAUUCCGCUACUUCUCACCAUUUCCUCAUGGAUUCCCCUUCGUUCACUCCUCAGCUCAUGUAGGAUGGUUGUCAAGGUCUUCAUCUGCUUUUUCAUCUGUUCCAUCCGGUCGUACAUGGCUUUUUCCCGUGCUUCAUUGGCUAUCUUCCUUAACGUCACGGAUUUGUUAAGCCUCAUAUCACCUCCUUGGGCACUACUUCCUCCUACAUUCAUUGUUCAUUCACUUGCUUUAUUCUUCUUCUUUCUGUCAACAGAAGCUUUUUGUUCAGCUCCCCACGGACGGCGCCAAAAUAUUGAUGCGAGAUUCUGGUUACCCUCUCUACCUCGACCAGGAUCUCUCCUCAACCAACUCGACCACGAUCAGAAUAUCUCCUCGUAAGACUUCUUCUCUAAAGGCUCCUGCGUACACAGAAACAAGUCAGAGCACGUCGGGUGUUUUUCCGGCGUAAACCCUCUGACACUCAAGUCAGAAAUGAAGGUUUCGUGUUCCUGGGAAAGUUAGCCACUGAUCUUAUGGCUUCUUUUUGGGUCUCAAUUAUUCAGAGCUCUCUUUAUCUUGAUUUCAAUUUAAAAAAAUCUAACCCUUUUACCUUCGUUGGCUAUCUUUUUAUAGGCUUCUCUUGAGUUCAGACCUUCUCUCAAUCCACGCCCAUUACCUUCUCACCUCUUGGAAGUGGAUGCUCUAUUUCCGUAAUUGUGGGUGGUUGCAUGGCUUUCGUGCCUUGAUUCUCGGGUUGGAUUGCACGUCUCGCCAACUGUCGUUGACCGAGUUUCCUCGCCUCAACCCCUAGCAGGAAUGGCUUUAUGCUUCUAAUAGGAGACCGGCCUCGCGGAUGGCGUAUUCGUGGUCGAGCAGAAUAUUCCUGCUUCUGUGCCCCUGCUAACAGACUCCUGCCAGAUAUACCUGCUCGUGAAACCCUACUACCAGAUGUCUGCUCAUCACAGCUGGUCUUGUCGAAGUACAUCCCCCAAACACUUGCUAAUAAGCUUGCCUGUGCUGGUGAUAAUAUAACUGAAAAAGAUCUGCUAAUAAGAACUCUUAAUGGAUUAGGAUCUGGCUGUCUGGAUUUAGCUUCAAUAAUUACAGCAAAUAAAAUGAAUUAUGAUGAUGCAUAUGCACUUUUGUUGACUCAUGAGGCUAGAUUGGAACAAAAUCAGAAUUCUUAGAAUUCUCAAGCCAUGUUUAAUGCUAAUUACAGUAUGAUGAAUGCAAACUAUUCACAUAUAAGGGGAAUUCCUAGGAGAAAUACUUAUGGUAAUGAAUCUUUUGGUCAAUUUGGAGGAAGAAAUCAAAAUUUUGGUCGAGACAUAUUCUUUACUUCUUAUCCUAGAGGUUUUCCAGCUGGUAGUAGUACUGCUGGUGGUUUUGGCAGAGGACAUGCUGCAAGCUUUGGAAGGAAUUAACAGUUUACAAAUCAUCUUAGGUCACCACAUGUGAGGAAUGUAUUUUUACCUGGAAUGAACUCAAGCAUUUCUACUGGUGAAUCUAAUGAGUCAAUACCUGUGUGUCAAAUAUGUCACAAACAAUGUCAUACUGCUGAUGCUCGCUGGUAUAGAUAUGGUGAUAAUUACUCUCAUUCUCCAAAACAAUUUGGUAGAGGAAAAAUGAUGGGACCUAAAGCAGCAUAUAUGGCUAAUUUUGAGCCAUUCUCAUACCACCAGUCAGCUAUUGAAGAUCCUUAUGAAUUGUCUGGUUUCAACUCCAGCUGUCAACCAGUACAUUACUCUUCUGUUUCUUCUUAUUCAUCAGAAGUAUUUACUCUGCCUGAAGCUUAUGUUGUAAAUCUGGAAGAUUCAUCAGAUGAAGGGUGGUAUCUGGAUAGUGGUGCCACACAUCACAUUACAAAUAACAUGGCAAACAUGCAUGUACGAGAAGAGUUCAAAGGUUUAGACCAGCUUACUAUUGGAAAUGGACAAAGUUUGACAAUUACUCAUAUUGGUGAUGCCUGCUUUAACUAUAAAUGUCUUCAUACUGCCUGCAAGCACACACCUAUAACACUUAAGGAUAUCUUAUUAGUUCCUUCAAUUACUAAGAACUUAAUAAGUAUAUUUAAGUUGACAACUGAUAAUAACCUUUCCAUUGAAUUUGUUGGCAAUGUGUGUUAUGUAAAGGAUUCACUGAAGGGACGAGUGCUUCUGUAAGGUCUUGCUGAAAAAGGAUUAUACAAGUUACUGUUAAAGUCAUCUCAGACAUCUCCCUCUUAUUUCUUGAGUCAAAUCUCUUCAAAUAAGCCUUUGUCUAUGCUAUCUACUUGUCAUCUUUACUUUCCUGUUACAACUGGUGCUCAAAAUAAUCACUCAACUUCUAUGUCUUGUUAUCAAACUGUUGUCUCUCAUUGUAAUGCAUCAGUUAAUAAAAUCAAUUUGUUUCAUAGAAGAUUUGGUCAUCUUCAUCAUGAUGUACUAAUACAUUUGCAUAAGAAUGAUAAAACUAUCAAUCUCUCUACCAAUUUUAUCAAACACUCUGCUCAGCAAAUAUGUGAGGCAUGUCAAAUGGGCAAGGUUCAUAAACUGCAUUUUUCUGUUACUGAAACCAAAACUUCUCACAUACUUGAACUCAUUCAUACUGAUCUGUGGGGACCCUCACUUAUACCUUCUAGAGCUGGUUAUAUCUAUUAUAUCAGCUUUGUUGAUGAUUUCAGCCGAUAUACUUGGAUUUACCCAUUAAAGUUGAAAUCUGAAGCCUUACAAAUUUUCAAAUUAUUCAUAUUGCAAGUUGAAAAAUAGUUUCAAUGCUCAAUUAAAAAGUUGCAAUCUGACUGGGGGGUAGAGUACCGAGCAUUUACUGAAUUCUUGAAUCAAAAUGGCAUUAUUUUCAGGCACUCAUGUCCCUAUACACAUCAUCAAAAUGGGGUAGUUGAGAGAAAGCAUAGGCAUGUAGUUGAAUUAGGUCUCACACUUUUAGCUCAAGCUAAGUUACCUUUACAAUUUUGGUAGGAAGCUUUCCAAACUGUUGUUUAUCAUAUUAACAGGUUGCCUUCUGCAACUCUGAAAUUUCUUACACCAUAUGAAAAGCUUUUCAGUCAUAAACCAUAUUACAAGAUGCUCAAAUGUUUUGGCUGUGCAUGCUAUCCUUAUUUGAGAGAUUACAACAAGCAUUAGUUUGUAUAUCAUUCUAGUAAAUGUAUUUUCAUAGGUUACAGCCCAUCUCAUAAAGGGUACAAGUGUUUACACCCAUCUGGUCAAACCUAUAUAGCUAGACAUGUUGUUUUUUAUGAGAAUUUGUUUCCUUACUCAUCAGAUUCUGCUUUCACUUCAAACUCAUCAAAUUCAUGUUCAAACAUACCAUUUACUCCUCAACAAGUGUAUCAUCUAUCCACUUUGUCAAUGUCUCCAAUAUCAGAUAACAGCAACUACUAUAAUCAUGAUUCUGCAAGACCUACCAGUGGUACUUCUUAUCACUCAGGUAAUUCUGCAUACAACAUUGAUCCUCACUUUUCAUUACAAACAGUUCAACCACAUACAGAGCCAGAGCCUUAUAUUUCUCCUCAUGAUCAAAUAUCACUAAACACUAUUCCAUCUACCUCAGCUCUAGAACAUACACAACAUAUUACUACACCAGUAAACACACAUUCCAUGAUCACUAGAAGCAAUGAUGGGAUUUUUAAACCAAAACUCUACAAUGUCACACUUAGGGUUGGCAGAAAAGCCAGGGCCGGCCCAGGCCCGCGUAGGCCCGGCCCGUGGCUUGAAAGUAUGGGUAAGGGCUCAUAAUUAAUAAAGCCCAUAACAUAUGGGCUCAGUCAAGGGCCUAAAUGAAAAGCCCGGGCUUUAUAAUAAAUAAUAUAUAUAUAUAUAUAUAUAUAUAUAUAUAUAUAUAUAUAUAUAUAUAUAUAUAUAUAUAUAUAUUGGUCAUCAUAUUUCUAAAGGAACAAUCACUCCAAUCGAGAGAUCUCUUUUGUUUGCUGAUAAAUUUCCUGAUAAAAUUCUUGACAAAACCCAAUUACAAAGAUUUCUUGGCAGUUUGAAUUAUGUUCUUGACUUCUGCCCUAAUAUUAAUAGAAUGUCUAAGCCUUUGCAUGACAGAUUAAAAAAGAAACCUGCUCCUUAGACAGAUGAACAUACAAAAGUUGUUAGAUUAAUAAAGAAUUCUGUAAAAAGUAUCCCAUGUUUAUAUCUUGCUAAUCCUACAUUACCUAAAAUUGUUGAGACUGAUGCAUCUGAUUUAGGUUAUGGAGGCAUAUUAAAGCAAAAGGAAAAUGAUAAAGAACAGAUAGUACAAUAUGUUUCUGCACACUGGAAUGAUUGCCAGAAAAAUUAUUCUACUAUCAAAAAGGAAAUCCUUUCCAUUGUUUUAUGCAUUACAAAAUUUCAAAGUGAUUUAUUAAAUAAAAAAUUUCUACUUAGAAUUGAUUGCAAAGCUGCAAAACAUGUUUUGGAAAAAGAUGUUCAAAAUAUUGCAUCAAAACAGAUUUUUGCACGAUGGCAAGCCAUUUUAAGUGUUUUUGAUUUUGAUAUUGAAUAUAUUAAAGGUGAUACAAAUUUUAUUCCUGAUUUUCUAACUCGGGAAUUUCUUCAAAACAGAUAAUGCCGCCAAAGAAGAAAGACAAAGGUAAAGCUGUUCUUAAAGACUCUGAAUCUAAAGCAAGGAUCACCUAUGAAAUGAAGAGAAAUAGUGAGGAUUAGAGUGGCAACCGCAUCUUGAAUUGGGUUAUUAAACUCAUCCAAAAUGGGUAUUUUAUCCUCAUCGAUUUGUAUGGAAUUUAGAAUAUCUAAUUGUUGCUGUUGGGUGAGAAGAUGAUCCCACCAACCUUUGAGUUGACCUGUAAAACCAGCAAUAAGGAUUUCUGCAAUGGCUUUGUCAGAAGUUCCUGAUUGGGUUUUAUAUGCAUUAGCUGUCAUGGUCAUCUGUUGCAACAAUCCUAAGAUGUUAUACUCAGACAUUCCAUCUAAAUUCCACUCAUAGACAGAGGAUGCAUUAUAUCGAGAUUGGUUUAAUGCACUAGGCCUGUUGUCUGUGGUCAAAUCAGGUGGAGACCUUACAGUGGGAAGGGCUAAUUCCCAAUGGAUUUUAUUGGCUUUAGGAAUAGGUUCUUCCUUAAAGGUGAGUUGAUUACAUUUUCCUUAAAGGUGAGUUGAUUACAUUAAUGACAUUUUCUGUAACAGCAGAAAACGUAGGGGAAGUUGGAGGAGAAGGUUCCUUCUCUUCCUGACUUUGUACAUGUUGAUUACUAGUGUAGAUCAGAUGAGGAACACUAGUGGUGUAAUCAACUUAUCGAAUGGAGGUACUAGGUAUAUCUGAAGUAGAAAACCUAGGUUGACUUUUUAUGGACUGAAAAGGGAGAUUUAUAAUAGAUUUGCUUUGGAACGCGGUUGGUCAAGUUUUAAUAAAGGUACGUGGCGUUGUAUCUAGAUCGAUGCAGAGACAAGUCUGCCUUUGGAACCAGAUCUGACUUAGAACAGAUCAAUAUUCCGCAUGUUCUAGUUUCCAGCCGAUAUACCAAUUAUAUUUAUUUCAAAGCUGGUAAUUACUUAUAAAAUUGGACAAAGCCGACCCAACACAAGCAUUGUUUAAUUUGAGUUUUUAAUAAUUGAUAUUCCAACGAAAGCAUAUAUAUAUAUAUAUAUAUAUUAUAUUAUAUAUUAUGGAUAAGGGCUUUAUAUAUAUAUAUAUAUAUAUAUUAUAUUAUAUAUUAUGGAUAAGGGCUUUAUAUAUAUAUAUAUAUAUAUAUAUAUAUAUAUAUUUUAAAAAAUGUAUAAUAUAUUAUAAAAUUGAAAAAAAAAUUAAACAAAACAAUAAAAAAAUCGGGCAAAGGGAAAGGGCAAAGGUUUUGUCACAAAAUGUCAAAAUUCAUAAAUCGGUAAAUCUCUAUUAGUUUUUUUUUUAUAUUAGUUGUUAAUUUGUAUGUUAUGUACGGUACUUGUAUUGUUAGUAUUUUUAUAUUUUGUGUUGGCUAAUCAUGUAUUAGAGAAUUAUAUUUAAGUUUUUAGCAUAUUGUAGUAUUAUGUAUUGGAUAAUUAUGUUUUGAAAAUUUAUAGUUUUAUUUUUUAAAAAAAAAUUGAAAAUUCGUAAAAGCCCGGGCUCGGCCCGAGGCCCAGCCCAGGCCCGUCAAGGCCCAGCCCGCCCAAAGCCCGCCCAACUUGGAUGGGCUUUGAGAGGGCCUGGACUUAUUUAACAUUAUAUGGGCCUGGUCCUGGGCUUGGCAAAGCCCGGCCCAGGCCUUUAAAUUGCCAACCCUAGUCACACUUGCUCAUAAAGAACCAGAAUCUGUCAAAGAAGCUAUGGAGAAUCCUAAAUGGUUUACAGCCAUGAAGGAUGAGUACAAUGCUCUAAUGAGUAACAAAACAUGGUCUCUGGUUCCUAGAUCAGCUGGUCAGAAAAUUGUUGGCAACAAGUGGGUAUUUAGAGUCAAACAGAAUUCAAAUGGAAGUUUGGCCAAGUAUAAAGCCAGGCUAGUAACUAAGGGGUUUCAGCAGAUUGAAGGGGUUAAUUAUUUUGAGACAUUUAGCCCUGUUGUAAAGUCAGCUACUGUCAGAGUGGUGAUUAGUUUAGCUGUCAUGAAACAAUGGGAGAUAAGGCAAGUCGAUGUAAAUAAUGCUUUUCUUAAUGAAGAGCUGACAGAAGAGGUGUUUAUGGAUCAACCAGCAGGCUUUGUUAAUAAUCAGAAACCAGAUUUUGUGUGCAAACUCCACAAGUCUCUCUAUGGCCUUAAACAAGCUCCAAGGGCCUGGUUACAGUGGGAUUUUAUAAACUCAAGAGCAUACUCUUCUUUAUUAAUAAAGAAAACAAGCAACAUCAUGAUAAUGGUGUUGAUUUAUGUGGAUGAUAUCUUAAUUACAGGUCCAGAUAGUGCAACAUUGGAAACCUUUAUAAUUGAACUGAGCAGAGUCUUUGCCUUGAAUGAUUUGGGUAAUUUGUCUUAUUAUCCAAAGUUCAGCUACUUGAAUGCAAAGGAAUUGAUAUACCUAUGAGCACUAGAAUAAAGCUACAAAAGGAAACUUUAGGUCAUUUUGGUCAAUAUAUUACUGAUCCUACACAUUAUAGAAGCAUUGUGGGGGGAAUGCAGUAUCUGAUCCUAACAAGACCAGAAAUUGCAUUUGUUGUCAACAAGUUAAGCCAGUAUGUUUCCACUCCUACACUGCAACAUUUGGUAGCUUGUAAGAGAGUGCUCAGAUACUUGAAGUCUACUCAAGAUUAUGGACUUAAAUUUGUUCAGCAUGGAGAGAUGAAAAUCACAAGAUUCACUGAUGCAGAUUGGGCCUGUGAUCUUGAUGACAGAAAGUCUGUGGGUGCUUACUGCAUUUACUUGGGAAACAAUCUAAUAUCAUGGUCAUCUAAAAAGCAAUCAGUCAUUGCCAGAUCAAGUGCUGAAAGUGAAUAUAGAGCCUUAGCGUCAACUAGUGCAGAGAUAAGCUGGUUACCAUCUCUGUUUUCUGAAAUUGGUUUAAGCUGUACAGAAACUCCUACUAUCUGGUGUGACAACAUCAGUGCCACUGAAUUAGCUCGCAAUCCUGUUAUCCAUUCGAGAACUAAACAUAUUGAGAUUGACUUACACUUCAUCAGAGACAAAGUGAUUGCUGGAGAGCUGCAAAUUCAGUACAUUCCUAGUGCAGAACAGAUAGCUGAUAUCAUGACCAAGCCUCUCUCAUUUAUUCACUUUAACUACCUUAGAGACAAACUCAAUGUGCAGCUAUAUCCCUUGAGUUUGAGGGGGGCUGUUAAGGAAGCUCAUUGUGCUGAGCUUAUGAAGAAUAGAAAGGUGAAGAAGUCGUUAGUCUCAGCAAGUGAAGUUAGUUAAUCAUGCCAGCUCAGCAGUGCCAAGUCAUCAGAGUUAGUUAUGAAAUAACAAGUCAGCACAAGUUGUUAAAGUCUGUUAUUAGUAAAUCUUGUGUAUAUAACUAAUCUCGUGAGUAUAUAAGUUGUGAUUGAUUCAGUUGUAAAGUGAUUUGACAAAAGUCGAGAUCCAAUGAAAUAAAAAUUUUCUCUGCAACUUUUCUCUCAAAACAAACAGCUCAAGUUUUCUUUCACUUGCAAGUCAGUCAGAUGUUUACGGUUUUGGGAUGGUGUUGUUGGAAAUGGCUGGAGGAAGAAGGAAUUCCAAUAUGAAUGCAACUCGUUCAAGCAAAGCAUAUUUCCCAUCUUGGGUAUAUGACCAAUUAAAUAAGGGAGGUGAUUUAGAGCUUCAGAAUGUUACUGAAAUUGAAUCCAUGAUAGCAAGGAAACUGUGUAUGAUUGGUUUGUGGUGUAUUCAGGUGAAGGCAGCAGAUCGCCCCUCUAUGACAAAAGUUUUGGAGAUGUUAGAAGGGAGUAUUGACAAUUUGCAAAUGCCUCCUAGACCUUUCUUCUCUUCUUCUCGACAUAUCUCUGGAACUGGAAGAGAGAUUGAAUCAGAUUCUUCAGCAGAGUUGUUAGUGUCUGAAUCAAUGGAGGAAUGUUCUUUCAAUGAUAGCUAUGUUUAAUUUUUGCCAAGGAUGAAUGUAAAAUAAAUAAAUAAUAGAUUGCAAUGACAAACGUUCUCUAUCUUCUUCUUGUUUUAUCUCGCAUUGAAACUUAAUGCAUAUAUUUGUGAGUGCAAGCUAGUUUAGUAGUUGAAAUCUCCUACUCAUAUAGGUGGCAAUAGGAUUUAAUUAGACGUGCGCUAUGCUUUAAAAAGAAAAUAAAAGUCUCUCGCAUUGAUUACAAACACUGGAUAGGAGUUGGAAAUUUUAUUCUAUAUUUUUAUCACACAUUGAAAAUUGAUCACAAAAAAACCAAGUCUACACCUUCAUUCAGCCUAUUCUUAUAAUUGUUGUGCACAAAUGUCAUGGAGGACUAGUCUCUUGUGGGGCUGCCAUUGACUUAAAUACAAUGCAUUUUAGCCAUCCAAAUUCCAAAAAUGAGUAUCAUUUGCUCUUUCACAUUAAGAAAUAUAUCCUCAACCAAGAAGGAAGAGUUAUUAAUAUUACACGAAAAAGCAUCCCUAUUUCUCAUUUUCUCCAUGUCACCUGUGCUUAGUUUAAUUCUCUUCCUUCUCUUUCCUUACACAGAAGCCAAAACUUCAGAAGGAAACAACGAUACAAAUAUUUAUGAAUUUUGUCAGCCAACAACAUGCAGCACGAAGGGACCAAAAUAUCAGAUUUCCCUUUAGACUCAAAACUCAACCUAUCUCUUGCGGUCUUGAAGGGUUUGAAUUAUCAUGCUUAAACACCAAGACAGUGUUGCACCUUCCUUCCUCUGGCGAUUAUUAUGUGCAGGACAUUUCUUAUCUUCACAGCAGAAUUACCAUUAUGGAUGUACAUGAGUCCACAUGCCCUUUAAAAACCACCCGAGCGGCUUUGUCAAACUAUGGAUUGACCUAAAAGGGGAGAGCUUAAAUUAAAUAUUUGAAUCUUAUUCUGAUUUUUUUAAAAUAAUUUAUAAGAGUUCAUAAAAAAAAGUUGUAAAUGUGUAAUUUAGAUAAAUAUAAAUACCCAAAUAAAAUUGGGCAAACUUUUAUUUUUCAUGAUGCUUUUUUUUUCCUUUAAAACCAAAAUAAAUUUAGGAUUCAUUUAUGUUUUAAUCACAUGCUUGUUUCAAAAUUUUACUUUCUUACAACGUUUUAUGAUUUUUUUAAAAUGUGCUCGCAUAUUUGUUAAAUUUAAGAAUUAAAGUCCAUGAUAUUAUAUUCAUCUUUAAGUUUCUCGAACAGCUACUUCGGAAGACUAGAAGGAAAAAUAUGAAUAAAAAAACGGAACAGUUCAUGGCUUUAUGCUUCUUUAUGGACUGUGGUUGCCUCAAUGAACAGCCCAAGUGAUUAUUGGGCUUUUAAUUCGGCUCCUAUGAAAAGCCCAAAGCGUCCACGAUGAAGCAGGUCACAGGAGCAGUCCCAAUUUUGAAUCUCUCUCAACUCCUCAAGCGGGGUUUCAUUUUGAAUGCCGCCUUUGGCCUCAUUUCACAAUAUAGAUGUGCAUGCAUGGAGGAUAUAUAUACACUGGGUGUAGUUGUGUAUAUAUAACUUAUAAAGUUAUAAUUAUAUUAUGAGUAUAUCUUUCUAUGUAUGUAUGUAUAUAUGAACAAAUAAAAUAAUAAUUAUACGAAAAUUAACUAGUACCUGAAAAAAGAUCAGUAGAUCACUUCAAUUUUGAGGGCCAAAUAAUGAUGCACGUUGAUGAUGGAAUACAGAGGGCUCAAAGAUUUAAAAUGCGUUUGAUUAAUGGCAUUUUAAUUUAUGUGCUCUCUAUCUUCUAUCAAGAAAAUUUCAAAAAAUUAACGCCCUCUACUUCAAUCAGACCAAACACAUGCACCAAAUACUAAUUAGGAAAAAAAAACAAUCGAUAUGCUUUUGUCUCCACAAUAAUAAAUAGCUGCUGAAUGGCCAUGGAAGCGUGCAUAUCCACAGCGGCACGAAAUUAAAGUACUUGAUAAAUUGUUUACAGUAGCAAGGACUUUGUAUGCAAGAUGCCAAUUAAAUGGUUGCGGGCUCAAAAACAUUAAUUUAUGCAGUGCUUCCCCCUUUUAGGCUAGAGAGAAAUCAAGUCUACAUUACUUUCCCUCAUUUUCUUUUUUGCCUUUGGCAAUAGAUACAUUAUUUUAUUGUUUUUUUAGCACAUUUUCAAUAAGACUACUAUUCCCAUAUCGGUUGCCAAGUUAAAUAGUUAAUCAUUUGAUCAAUAUUUUAUUUUAUGGAUUUGAGUUCGACAUGACGGAUAUUAGAAACCAGUGGGAUACAACAUGACCAACUUUUACAUCAAUACAUACAUUAUACUAAUGCGGCUGUGACAUUUGAAAUAAGCGAUCAUUCGAUUAAAUCCAUUUACGGUAGAACUACAUACCGCAUGAAACGCAACAGGACUCGUUCCAAUGUCACAAAAUUAAUACGAAAACAUUUGAUAGAGAGGAAAUCUCUGCACAAGUGAAUUGCCUUCAUAAAAUAUCAUAGUGGCACUUUGACUCUUGACGGCAAAGAGGGCUGCUCAUAGAACCAAUCUUGAAUCGGAAAUGGAGAGUUCUAAAAACCACAUGAAAAAUUAGCUUACGAAGACACAUCAAAAUGUUGCACCAAGCAUAAGAUUCAAGAUAUCCUUAGCUCGAAUAUGUUGUAUGUAAGUUAAGUGGAAAUAUCAGGACACAUUGAUUUUCUUCCCCUCUGUGUCUAACUAGUAUUAUAUCGUUGGUCUAACUUUUUCCAUCUAUAUCCUGUGUGUGAUGAAUAACAUAUAAAUUGAUCUAAAUUUUUGUCAUAAACUAUACCAUUUGUACUCUUAAUCCACUUGAGAUUAAUGAACGUCGUAUAUGAUUAAAAAAAUUAUUAAUUUCAUCUCUUUUGUUAUUCUAAUAAUCUAUUAUAUGCUGUUAUAUCCCAUGAUCAAACUAUGUAUUCGACAGUUAAUUUUUCAAUAUUAUUUUAUUAUAUAUUUACUUGUUUCCAUAAUCAUAGUCUAAUUAAUGAUUUAUGUUUUUGUUUUUUUGGACUUUGGUGGUCUCAAUACGAAGCCCAACUCAUAUUGGGCAUUUGAAGUUUAAAUCAUUAAAAAGCUCAAUUAGUCCCCUAUCCGCAAGGAUAGACUAAUAUCCUAAUGGCAUAUUAGUGCCGUCACACACGCCUACAACAUAAAAACUUAUCAUGCAUUAUAUUGAACGCAAUUGUGCACACCGGAUCAUAAUUUUAAUUAUAUAUAUCUUUCUUUAUUCAUAAAAAUAAUAAUAAUAACAACAAUAAUAAUUACAACAGCAACCAUAAUUUUUAGAAACGCGUGAACAUGACAUGAGAAGUCCUCAUUCUUCUGCAUGUCGGUCGCUUUAAAAGUGUUGGUGUUGGCGGCCGUUCCAAAUUUCCAAUGCCGCGUUUCUCCAAAUCCUGUUAAAAAAUAAUAAUAAUAAAGUAAGCGAAAGAUAUUGACUGGAAUUGGACUGCAUGGAAACUGUUUCCAAUAAGUUGUAUCGCUGUUAAUAUUGAAGAACGUUUACUAAGAAAUUUGAGGUCAAGCUAGGAUGGGGAUGGAUGGAUCAUCCCAUUCCCACCGAUGCUAACUCAUUUACAAUUACCAGGAAAUUAAGCGACUUCACUUUGCCGUAUUGACUUCCCCUUUGAAAUCUGAAAGCUUCCACCUAAACAAAUCGUGGAAAGAGACUUCAGAAGCUGCGUGGCAUCCGCAUACAAAAUUUACAGUAAGAAACGAAAUUGAACAUGUUUAUCUAGAUUUGUCCCUUUAUCUUCCAUUGCAUUAAUGCUUGAAGCCUAGCACUCAGUAAUUAAAAAUUUUCUUCCAUCGUGUCGAUUUCAUUUUAUGAAUAAUUAAUAUUAUUUUUAAACAAAUUAUUUAGCGCUAAUUAAUUCAAUCACAUAGUUGUAUCCUAAACUAUGAUAAGUUUAUGAAUAAUUAAUAGUAUUUUUAAACAAAUUAUUUAGCGCUAAUUAAUUCAAUCACAUAGUUGUAUACUAAACUAUGAUAAGUUUAAAGCCCGCCUCUCACCGUGCAAGUGAAAAUGUAGAAAACAUAGCGCAUUAACACUUUUAUACCGUUCUACUUAGUUUAUUGAAAUUCGUUAAUUGUAUCCUGGAAUUGGAGGAGCAAUGAGUAGUGACGAAGCUUCAAUUUUCUCAACUUUUCUGUUUUGUCUGUUGAUGUUUGUAUUCAGCCCCAGAGAAAUUGAUGCAAGAAAACUUGAAGUAAAAAUGUGUUCUUCUUCUUGUGGAGAUGUCAAAAACAUAAGCUACCCUUUUCGCCUCAAGGGCGAUCCAGCUGGAUGCGGUCGUCCGGAGUUAGAACUUUCUUGCGAGAGCAACAAAACCAUCUUCGAAUUCAAUUCUGGAAAGUACUAUGUGAAGAGAAUUUCCCAUGAUAAAUGUACAAUCAGUGUUGUCGAUGUUAACUUAGCCUAUGGAAGCUGCAGCUUCCCAUCCACUUCUUUUUCCCCACCUCGUCUCAGUUUCAGAUAUAGUUUUUAUUAUCUUGGUGAUUCAAGGGCCUAUUAUGUGAAUUGCUCGAGUAAUAUUGUUGAUCAGGCGUAUGCGAAAGUUCCAUGUUUGAGUAACAAUCAGUCGAAUGUCUAUGUUUAUGUUGCAUAUAGUUUCUUUGAAACCACACAUCUUCCAGACUCAUGCGCCUUCAUUUCAAAGGUUCCUGUAGUACUUAAUAGGAGCGUGGACAAACUUUCUUAUGAAGACCUCCGAAAAUCGCUGGAGUCAGGGUUCGAUUGGAGCUGGAGCCUCUCAAUGUCUCGCUGUAAGCUUAUGCUUAUAUUUAUUUAUGCAUUCAAAUGCAAGGGCUUUAUUUUUGUUUUCCAAUAUUGUACGUAAUAAAGAAUUUGUGAACUAUCUCUAAGAGCAUACCGAUAUGACCCUUAAUUUCUGUUUCUUUCCACUUUUGCAACAGAUUGCAUCCACAAUGCGGGAGUAGUGGCAAAGAUAAAUUGCCUCUUAUAUUAUAUACGUAAGCAUAUCCUUAUAUAUCUUUUUGAUCAUGUGUUUUCGACGUUAAUAAAUGCGAUGGCUUCAUAUAUUCUCUAAUCUUUACUCUAUAAUUUUUUCUAAAUCAUCUCUCUGAUUAGGAUAAGGCUUUUAUUUUGUUCCCCCCUCUCUCCAAUUGCAGUUUACGGAGUAAUUUACCCAGCAAUCUUUUGGCCUUGCAUAACGUACGCAUCAGGAAUGCGGAAUUGGAUAGCUUUUCUGUUAGGUAAAAUCUCGUCUCCAGGAUCCUCUUUUUAUUGCUUUGUUUACUACUAUUUACUUUCAAAUAACGUUCUCCUUACCAGGGUUUACACUCGAUGUUCUGAAUGUUCUGAUAAUUGGUAGAUUUAUUCUUGCUCCAAUAGUCUUUCUCGUGUUCCUUAUCCACAAAUACAGAACGACAUUGCAAACAGUUGAUAAUAUUGAGAAAUUUCUGCACAACCACCAAUCGUGGAUGCCUAAAAGGUACUCUUACCCUGAGAUAAUUGCCGUGACAAACCACUUCACUCAUAAAUUAGGCCAAGGUGGCUUUGGUUCAGUUUAUAAAGGACAACUUCAUACCGGUCGCUUGAUUGCUGUUAAGAUGCUGGAGAACUCCAAGUUCAGUGCUGAGGAAUUCAUCAACGAAGUUUCAACAAUAGGUAGAAUUCACCACGUUAAUGUGGUCCAGUUAUUGGGGUUCUGUUCUGAGGGAUCCAAACGUGCACUUGUCUACGAGUUUAUGCCUAAUGGAUCACUCGAUAGGCAUAUCUUUCCCAAGGAGAGUAGAGGCCAAUCUUUUAGUUGGGAGAAACUCCACGAAGUUGCUUUAGGAACUGCUCGUGGGAUCGAGUAUUUACACGACGGAUGUGAUGUGUGCAUUCUUCAUUUCGACAUUAAGCCUCACAACAUCCUGCUAGAUCAUAAUUUCAUACCAAAGGUCUCAGAUUUCGGCCUUGCAAAGUUUCAUCCCAAGGAAAAUGAUUUUGUGUCCCUCAGUGCCACAAGAGGAACCAUAGGAUACAUAGCACCUGAGCUGAUUUCAAGGAAUUUUGGAACUGUUUCUUGCAAGUCAGAUGUUUACGGCUUUGGGAUGAUGUUGUUGGAAAUGGCUGGAGGAAGAAGGAAUUCUAAUAUGAAUGCAACUCGUUCAAGCAAAGCAUAUUUCCCAUCUUGGGUAUAUGACCAAUUAAAUAACAGAGGUGAUUUAGAGCUUCGGAAUGUGACUGAAAUCGAGUCCGUGAUUGCAAGGAAACUAUGUAUGAUUGGUUUAUGGUGUAUUCAGGUGAAGCCAGCUGAUCGCCCCUCUAUGACAAAAGUAUUGGAAAUGUUAGAAGGGAGUAUCGACGAUUUGCAAAUGCCUCCGAAACCUUUCUUCUCUUCUUCUCGACAUAUCUCCGGAAGAGAGAUUGAAUCAGAUUCUUCAACAGAGUUCUUAGUGUCUGAAUGGAUUGAGGAAUGUUCUUUCAAUGAUAGUUAUGCUUAGUUUUGGCAAUGAUAUGUGUAAAAAAGAAAUAAAUUGUCCUCGUGCUACCAGAGCUUCUAUAACAUUAUAUUGAAAAAUUUCAGUACGAUUCAUUGUUUGAUGUGAAUAUUCCAAUUUUGCUCGUAUCGACCAGAAUAUGCUGUAGGUUUGUCAUGUGAUCAUGUACAUUCAUCAAACUAUUUGAAACGCUGCUUGCUGCAUCUCUGAUUGAGCUAGAGUAUGCUUUGAACUCUCUGGUCCUGCUGAACUUAAUUUAAAGUACAAUUACCAAAGUAUAUCGUAGACACCUAGCUAUCACCACACAUCCACUUUUACUUAAUAGAUAAUAAUUUCAUCUCACAACAGUGAUUAAUUAAAAGACACAUAGUUCCCAUCAAUCCUAAACACACCCUUGGUCUCCCACUGAUAUAUCAUGGUAAGCGGAGGGUAGCUGCUAGGAAUUACCGGUUUUCUAAAGAACAUUACUUCCUGAUCUUAAAAACAUAAUUUUCUCAUUUCCUACUACAAAUUACUUUCAUAACUCUCACUAAAAUCUAUAUCACAAACAGCAAGUCCCAUCCUGUUCCUCCAUGCAUCUGAUAUUGGCAGAUACUGAAGUUGACUAGUCUCUUUGGGGCUACCAUUGACUUAGAAAAAGGAGAAAAGAGAGAAGGAAAGAACAGAAGAAAUUAAAAGAAACUCAUUUUCCAACCUUUUUCCAUGACAAAUUGACAAUCAAACUCUCCUCUCCCUUAUUACUCCAAAAGCAUAACUCAAACUCUGCUCUAACUCAAACUCCGCUCUCCCUCUCCCUCCAUGUCCCUCGUGAUGAGUUUAAUAAUCCUCUUCCUCUUCUUACCUUACACAUGUACAUUAGCCAAAGCUUCUGCAGAGGACAACAAGACAGAUAAAUAUGAAUUCUGUCAACCAACAAAUUGCAGUAAUAGUAGCCCAAGUAUCAGAUAUCCCUUCAGACUCAAAACUCA